rnacentral:lncRNA from 1 species
CCAUAUGAGGAAAAAACUGAAAGAUGAAUUGGAGGACAAGAACACAGUUCAAGAAUAUGUAUGCCCCAACUGUGGGAAAAGGUUUCUGCUGAUAGGUUCAUUUUGUUCAAUCUAUUGCAGCAAGGACAAAUUUGCAGAUUUUGUGUAGUGGCUAUGAGCCUAUGUCAUGCAGAUUUUGUGUAGUGGCUAUGAGCCUAUGACAACAUUUUGUAUAGUGGCUAUGAGCAUAUGACAAAUAUUUUGUUCAAUCUAGUGCAACAGGGGAAAAAUGGUAAAUUUGAGAUGAUAGUGUAAUUUUCAGAUGAAAUGAAACUGCAUUCUGUGUUUUUGCUCCAUUUCUAUUCAGUCUUAAAUUACUUGUAUUACUUGCAAUGUUUGUUGGUCUCAGUUCUCUCAUAAAUUCAAAGCUAUGAAAUCAAAAUGCAGCACAAACAUUCAUACUGUGAAAUGUUUCUUCAUUGAAAAUUUGAAAUGAUACAUAAUAUUUGAUUAGAAACACUAGUAAAUUGGUCUAUGAGUCUAUCUGACAUCUUCUUCUAUGAACUAAUCUGCACCAUUCAUUGAUUAUAAUGAAAGGUGACGAUUCUAGUUAAGUACUUCUCUUGCAAGUCUUCCAAGUUCCAACACUGAAAGAGAGUUCACUAAGUUCAGAGGUGAUCAAUAUUGCUAUGCACCAAACUAAGUUCAGUAAGGUCAUCCGGUUGAAAAGCUGGUGGGAGAGAUUUUGAUGGAUACCAACUCCAAUCUGCCUCUUCUAAUUCAGCCAAGCGUAACAAUAUGCCUUCAAUGCUUUUCAGCCUAACAAUAGAAUAGAGUAAAUCUUAUCAACUUCAAUCCAAAUCAUAAAACCAUAGUGAAAAUCAACUUUCAAUCUUUACACACUUGAAGAAAAUAGGACCCAUCUGUCCAAAGAGCUGCUUUAUCUUUGGUGACAACAGCAGUGCCUGCACUCCCAGUGAAACCCGAUAUAAAUGUCCUCCUCAUGUAACAUUUAGCAAUGAACUCGCUCUGAAAUCCAUAACAAAAACUUAAGACCUAUAUUCAACAAUCACAAGAACAUGCACAAAAGUGAGAUUCAAUCUCUAAACUAUAAUUCAAAGGGAAUAAACAUAAGCCAGCAGCCAAUGCAAUCAAACUACACAAAUGAGCUCCAAUGAGCUCUUAUUUCACAAUCUCAUUACCGAAAAACAGUAAAACCUGGCUGAUUUAAUCCUCAACAGUUAGUAGCACAUCAUAACUCUCAAACUUGUGCAAUGUAUUACUAGAACUCAAGUCAAAUAAUAUCAUAUGUAAUGUCAUGUUGAGUUAAAACUGUGCUAAAUUAAGUUCACUCAACUGCACAGCUCAUCAGAUAAGAAAAAGGUAAAAAUUGCACAGUUUGCAGAAGUGUUUGAGCUCCAUAUAUUAAGUUGCGAUUUGGAGUGGUGAAGUAAUCUUUACUGUUGGGGAUUUUAAAAGGAGUUCCUUCAGUACUUUCCAGACCAGGACAUGAGGGCUGGAAUCUACAGGAAUAUUUUUUCAUGCAAUUCAUACUUCAGGUUUGGUUCUGGAUGAUGCUACUAGACCAAGGUUUGAAAAGGCCAAAGUUUAUGGCAAGGUCAAACUUACAUCUUGGAUCACAGCUCAUGGAAAACACAACAGUUGUCAUAUACUUCAGAACAAGAGACAACAUAUUGCCUAUCUCCAAGCAGGAAAUCAUCCACAUCACAAAGACACAUCAGUUCAACAGGAAUGAGUACUAGAGAAAAUGAACAAAUUUAUCAAUUGUUAAACAAAUCCACCAUAUCAUGUAUAAUACCAACUUUGGUGUAUAGUCUAUCACACACCAAUUGCUUAAAAACACUUUUUGUUCCAUGCAAUUCAUUUCUGAUCAACUAUAGGUAUAGACCAUGAUAGAGUAAAACCAAAGCUCCUAGUUUUCAAACAACACCACAAAGACUAAAACUACACAAAUCACAACUAGCAUUUCACACCAAGCUAGAAAUGAAUCCAAAUUUCCAACAGCAAAUAAAAUCGAAACAAGGCUUGAAACUUUUUGAGGCUGAAAGCUCAAAAACUAGCAAAAUCAAAACACAAACUUUCAUAGUAUCAAAACGACGUAGUUUUAAACCUUCUUGAGAUGGGAUGACGUAAGCGUCGAGGCCGACGCCGGGGAAGAGGUUCCGGAGAGCUCGGAGCUUGGCGUCGGAGGAGUCGAAAGCGGCGGAGAUGGAGGUGCAGCUGCGGAUGGAGAAAGUGGGGGGCUUUUGGGAAAUAGAGAGCAGUGACGGCGGAGGGAGGCAGAGCGAGCGACGGAGGAGGGAGGCGGAGCGAGUGACGACGCCAGAGAGAGAGAGCGACGGCGGAGGGAGGCAGACCGAGCGACGGGUUAGAGAGAGAGUGCGGGGGCGACGACGGCUGAGAGAGAGAGAGGGCUGUGGUUUGAAAUCGAUUUUGAGGAGAAGAGGGAGAGGUUUCCUUAAUGAGAGGGCUGGUUCGAAAUCGAUUUUGAGGAGAAGAGGGAGAGGUAAAUGUGAAAUAGGUCUCUAUUUUAACUAGAAAGAUCUCAGCCAUUGGUUAAAAGUAAAUGGCUGAGAUUAAUUCAUGAGGAGAUAUGAGGACCCUCUCAUGAGGAGAGGAUCCGGAUUCGAUAAUUAUUCAGUAAAAUGAUGUGGAAUUGAAAAAUUUAUUUUGAGAGAUUGUAGUAGGGUUUGAACCAGUACAUUAGUUUUUCUUGUGUAUGAAGAGUCAUUUUCAGUCCAAUAUACUGUGCUUUUGGUUAUGAAAGUUUGAUUUUCGAUGACAACCUAGGACUAUGGUUGGUUCAGUUUUGUUACUUGUGAUUGAUAUCUUUGUGUAACUGUGCUUCAAGUUUGUAAUUUCCUUUUCACAUUUCAAAUUAUGCAGGAAUUCUAAGGGAUAUGACUUGGCAAAAAUGGUUUAACUCCAAAUUUACACAUAUAUCUCCAGUCUGGUAUGAUCUGAAGAGGUAUACUUCCAGUUUUCUUUGUCUUAUGAAGUGAGAUGAGUAGUUGGUCUUUUUCCUAAACAAUAAAAGUAAGUAUUAAAUUCCUUCCGUUUCAUUACCAGUCAAGGGGCCAGCUUAAUUCUGGAAGGCAGACAUAACGCUGAUAUUGGGUACGGUGGAUCUCAGACUUUAGACGGGCAGGAGACGCAUGAGAAGGGUGUCAACUGAUGUAGAAUGAAGAGAUUUUGAGUCAAGUAGAUGUCAUUGUAUGAUGAUUUUGGUUGAUCCAUUUAGUUUCCUUGAUUUGUAAUGUUGAUCUGCAAUGUUGAUGUAUUAUUUUUGGAUAUCUAGAGCUGAAAUGGUGUAAACUGCAAGAAUCAUGUUUGGGCCCGAAAUAAUUCCUGAAAGGCCGAAAAAAAAAAUUCAGGCCGGGCUUAAAAACUGAAAAAGCACGACCCGACCCGACCCAAUUUUUUCGAGUUUCGGUCGGGUUUUCUGAAAACCCGAACCGGCCCGACCCGAGCCCAGCCUUAGUUUCAACAUUUGUUCCAUCAAAUUUUGUGUUCCCCCUACAAAUUUGAGGCUGAAUUUGGGAGAAUGUUGGAGGGAAACAUUGGCAGACAAGGUUUUGUUGAAAAUACAUACUUUCACACCAUAAUUUUUUUACAAAACGUGGUAUCACUCUUACAUGUUGCACACCUUACAAUUUGGGAACCUGGUGCUCACAUUUUUACACAUUCACACCACGAUUUUAUAUAAAACUGACAUCCAAAAAGCUAAAAAUUAAUCACACAACGGGUUAUCAUUAUACGAUAGGCAUUGUCUGAAACUGUUUUUUAGUAGUGACGUGGCACUAAUUAAUAAUGAAGCGUGUAACUGCUAUGUGUCGAACGGAAAUAGCAUUUGCCCUACCCUGGCCCACUUAACAUGGACCGCCUAGCCGUGCACGUUUCCACCUAGCCCGUACAAAGCCCAUUUCACAUUAAUUUUUAACUUUUAAAGGAUGGACCCUGGCCCAUUUUGGCCCACUAAGCAUCGACCGCCUAGCCACGCACUGUUUCCGCUAGCCCGCAAGAAGCCCAGCCUACAUUAAUUUUUGUUUUGGUUGAAUGGGGCCAUUUCGUAGGGUUUUGUAGCUCUUCUUCAGUGGGUAAGGGUUUUGUAGCGAUCGUUCUUCUGCAGUUGUGCUUCUAUUAUUAUCUAUGAAAAUUCUGUUCACAAAUUCCGAGCAAACCUUCCAUUGUACUGGGUUCAUGUUCCUAAUUAACUCGAUUUCUUACACACUUUGUUCUUAUGUUCAAUGGUGGCUGAACUGCAGCUGAUAGAAUCAAGUGACACGUUUGAGAAGAAUUGUUGCUAGCACCAAGAAAAGCACGAAUCGCGGCCAAUCUUAAUAAGAUGUUUCCAGAAUAUAGAUUUAUAUAUAUAGUAAACGUUGAUGAAACAAAUUAAACAUAUGUGGAUGAUUGUAUUAAUUCAUCCUUAGCAAACAGCUAGCUAGGGAUCUGAUUUGGAUCUCUAACAGAAAUUGAUUAAUGAACACUAGCUGAUUUCUAUUCUUUUUUUUCCCCCAUGAUCCGCAUUAAUAUUUUGCGGAGAUCGUUAAAGAAAAGCAUAAGAAAGAGCAACGUUAUCUAUGAGUAUCGGUAUCUAGAAAAGCAACGUUAAAGAAAGCUACAAGAAAGAGCCUGAUGAGCCUCAUCCUUUUCAUCCUCAUGCAUCGAUCUUUUCUUUCAGUGAGAUCGAGCUAGAGAAUCUGGACAGGGUCUGUUCCUCACGUCCUCACCAAACCAGAAAAACGCUAAUAAUCUUAGAUUGUGAUAUGCCACGAUCCGUCCUCGCAUUCUUUAUCUUUAAACUAAGCUUUUGACGUUCCCAUCAAUAUUGUGGCCAAUAUUCGAAUUGCUGAUGCAAAGCUUAGGGGAAUAUAGUUAGGGAAAUAUAGUCCUGCAGUCUUUUCGACCGAGGCGUCGACUUACAUAUAACUAAUGUGUUAACCCUAGAGUAAAGAGGUGUUCUGUGUAACGUAUCAUCAACAUGGCUUCUCUAUAUAGCUUAUAUAUUUUACUAUAGAUAAUUACUUAAUUUCUCUUGACAAAAAUAAUCAAGAGUUCAUUAUUAUAAAUAGUUCUGCUAUGUUUAUAUAUAGUAUAGGAUGUAAUACAGUGUACAUACAUAAUUUUCGAUCUGUUUUCAAGCGUUUGCUUUGUGUCCUUUUCAUGAUUGGAUUCGAUCCAAGAAGGAAAAGGAGGUCCCAAUUGGAUAAAUCCAACUAUUCUUUCCGACUCAGAAAAUAUUCGAGCUGCAAAAUCGAUACAAAAUGAAACACCAUGGCCUGCAGAUCUAUAUAUCAUCCUAUCAAAUUUCCAUGACAAAAAAUUUAGAAUUAAUGAUUACUAAUGGAAUAUUACACCCUAACCCUUAUAGGAAAAGUAACCUAAUUAAAUUUACUUGAUUCACCUGAUUUUUUACGAUAAUAAGCAUAUCAAAAUAAGCAUGCGAAUCUUUUUGUUACUAAUAGACAUGAAGCAGUUGUCUAUAUGUACAAGUGAUGUAAAAUAAGGCACACAACACCAAAAUGAGAAACAAAAACGAAGAACAAAAUGCAUAUAUGGCAGUAAUAUAAGCAAGGAUAUGAUGGAGCCUAUCUAGGAUAAGAAUUUAUGUGAAGCCGUACGUACCAAGGACACGUCUCUAUAUCUGUUAAAAUUCGACAAUGUGUGCCUGCCUUCAACUUCGAUUCUCCUUAGCUAGUGCAGCUUUGGAUAGCCGUCUAGAAAUGAUCGAUCAAAGUAUGUGAAAUAAAAAAACAAAUCGAACAAUCUUAUUUUCCUUCUUUAUCAAAACCCUUUUAGACGGUGCCAAUCCAUCAACUCUCACCCAUCUCCUAUAUAUAUACACUUCCAGGGCACUCCAUAACUCACAAACUCAUCAAAAACCUCACCAAUACACAUUCCUCUGAAAGCUUUAAUCUCUACUUCCUCUGAAUCUAAACACAUUUCACUUACCAACCCGCCGUUGCCAUUAGCAUACACUUCGCCUUCGAGUCAUUACAUUUUCGCCUUGUUUACCAAAAGAAAGCUGCUAGCUAGCAAUGGAGGCGGUGACAAAGAUGGCGUCCGAGAGACCAGUGGUGAUCUUUAGCAAGAGCUCAUGUUGCAUGAGCCACUCAAUCAAGACCUUGCUUUCCGACUUUGGUGUGAACCCCGCAGUGUAUGAGCUUGAUGAGAUGCACAGAGGGAGAGAAAUAGAGCAAGCUCUGUUGAGGCUCGGAUGCAGCCCAUCUGUGCCGGCUGUGUUCAUUGGUGGCGAAUUUGUUGGCGGAGCCAAUGAAGUCAUGAGCCUGCAUCUUAAGCGCUCUUUAAUCCCCAUGCUUAAGCGCGUUGGUGCAUUGUGGGUUUGAUCAAUCUCAUCAAGUUAACCAACACUACCAGGACAAGUACUUUAGCCGACGAAAAAUUUUCGUCGGCCUGUUAUCCUAAUUCGUCGGCUAAGACCUUAGCCGACGAGCCUUCGUCGGCUAUAGUGUCGUCGGGAAAGGGUCGUCGGUGAUGGCUUUAGCCGACGAAUCUAAAGACCGUCGUCGGCUAUUGUCCGACUUUAACCGACGAACUAUUUUUUGUCGGCUAUUGUUCCAGACUUUAGCCGACGAACUAUUUUCGUCGGCUAUUGUUCCAGACUUUAGCCGACGACGUCCUGUGUCGUCGUCUAUACUCUCAGACUUAAGCCGACGAACAGAAUAUUCGUCGGCUAAAGUAUAUAAUUAAAAUAUUUAAAAAUAACUAUAGCCGACGACAUAGAGUCUGUUUCGUCGGCUUUAGUAGUGUUUAGCCAACGAAACAUGCCAUAAUUCGUCGGCUAAACCCUUUGGAAAAAAAAAAAUACUAUAGCCGACGAAUUGUGGCAUGUUUCGUCGGCUAUAACGCCAUUCCAAUAAAAAAAAAAAUACACGAAAUUCUUAAAUUACCAUUCCAAGCAAGCUGCAAAAUACACCAAAACAAUUCCAUAUAUAUAACCAACAAGAAGCACAUAAAACUAUAUAAGGUAUCAACUACACAAAAUCUAGAUGGUCUAAAUCAAUAUCCGAAUUUGGGGCCUGCUGGUGAGGAGAUUGCAGCGGCAGAGGUAACUCUAUAGGCGCAGGCAUGGGAGGAGGUGGAAGUCCCUGAAGCUAGGCAGCUGUAAAAUCCUGGAAGUACUGGAACAUCUGCUGCUGCUGGGCCUGCUGGGCGGCAUGUAGGGCUCUAGUAUAGGCUCUAUAUUCGGCAAUCUGGGCGGCAUGAGCGGCAGCCUGAGCAGCCUGAGCGUCAGCCUGAGCGGCAGCCUGAGCAGCAUGAGCGGCAGCCUGAGCGGCUUGCUGUUCCCGUAGUCUCUCAACUUCCGACUCUAGCUGAGUCGUCCUGCUGUGGGUCGAGGCUGCCUUUCGUUGAAAUCCUGGAGUGGUCUUCAGGACCCCCUGGCCCUUCUUUCCUAGACCCCGGCAGUAGAAGUUGUUUUCUCGCGGUGGGAAGGCUGUGCCCAUGAUCCUCGCCCCAACCCUCGGAUCUGAAGUGUCGAUCCGGAAAAUGGCUUCGGACAUCUCUUCCUCCUGCCUGUCCGGCCAUGUCUCCCUCACUAUAGCACUCAUCACCUCGUCACUAGCCUCCCUCACAUUUGCCUAAUUGGAUAGGAAAAAAAUUAUUAAUUAACAUUUUGACAUAUAUAUAAGUAAAAUUAAAAAUUCCGUAAAAAGGAAAGAGUACUUACUAUAUCCUCCUGGGAGUCAGGAUAUGCCCUCUCGUACGUAUAGACGUACUGGUUGACCUCUGGAUGUUCCCUGGCCGCCUCGUCCAUGAAGACAGCGAACGGUCUAGAACCGGCAUGAUGGUUCCUUGUGUUGCGUUGCCGGUUCUGAGCGUUCACCCGGGAAACCGCCUUCAAAGAAAAAAGUAAACUAUUAGUAAAAUAUUUUAAAACGCACGUACUUAAUGAUAAAUUAACGAAUUAAUUUAUUUAAAUACCUGUUUACGAGGGUUGUUGAAUUCUGAUGUCAGAAGCCAACGCCACUUGUACUCUCUGUACUGGAACUCAGCAGGGGUAGCAGAACGUGCGUUCCCGUGCGUAGUCUAAUGGGUCCGCAACUCGUUCUUCCACUCCUUGUACCUACAGAUACAACAAAAAUAUUAGAAAUAUUAUUNNNNNNNNNNNNNNNNNNNNAAAUACCCUAAUAUUUUUUCGUCAGCUAUAGUAUGUAAUAAAAAAAAAUUAAUAAAGCCGACGAAAUAUUAGGGUAUUUCGUCGGCUAUAAGUUCUUUUAGCUGACGACUUCUAGUAUUCUUCGUCGGCUAAGACUGGUUUAGCCGACGACUUUUAAUAUAAUUCGUCGGCUAAGAUGGUUUAGGCCGACGAAUUAUGUUGUAUUUCGUCGGCUUAAGUAAAAAAAUACAAACCCUAAAACAGAAGGUUUAAACCAAACUAAUUUCCUGUUCAUAUAUCACCAAAAUUCAUAUAAAAUAACAGAAAUAUGAAUUCAACAUAUGUAAACUAGAAAUUAAGGUAAUACAAUCUUUUUUAUUACAAAUUAAUGUAUUACAUCCGAAGAAAUUAAAACUAAGGCUCGUAAUCGGAAUCAUCCGAUGAGACUUCUUCGGUGUCAGAAUUAAUUUCUGGUAAUCUAUGCAUUUCCUCAUCGCCAGAGUCUUCGUCUGUUUCUUGAUUUGGAUCAACAUCAAUAAGCCUUAGCUCUUCAUCACGAAUUCGCACCGAACGACUCGCUUUAAAAUUAUUAAGGCGAACGGUAGAGGAGUUAGGAAUACCUAUUGUGUUGGGCUCUUGAUACGCAACAUCUUCUUCCUGGUCUUCGGCCUCUCCAAGUGUAGCCGCCCGGUAAAUGUUUCGAGGGUGCACAAGGUUGACUACUUUCCACGCGUCACCCUUAGCAAGGUCAUCAAGAUAAAACACUUGUUUUACCGAUGUGGCAAAAACGAACGGGUCAUCUUCGUAAGAACUUGUAGCAGUGUUCACCGAUAAUAUUCCGUACUGAUCGGUCUUCAUGCUCUGCGGGCUAGUAUCAAACCAUCUACACUUGAAGAGGUGCACUGUCAUGCCUUCACUAUAAACGAGUUCCACCACUGAAUCAAGAACACCGUAAUAGUCAACUCCAUUCCGCCCACCAUGCACCAUCACCCCAGAAUUCUGUGUUCUCCGUCUGCUGUCUCUCUGUUCACAUAUAAAUUGCAAGCCAUUCACCUUGCACAUCGGAUAAACUCUUGAGAUUAUCGGCUUCAUCGCUAGAAGUCUUAGUUUGUGCGACCAAUUUGGGUGACCAUCAAAUUGAAUAUGGUUCAUCUGCAACCAACAAUUUAACAUUGUAAAUAUAGAUAAUUAUGCAAUAAACAUAAAUACGUACAUAAAUAUUGAAUUACGUACCCAGCCGCCAAAAUAAUUUGCGAACUCCCUGUUGUGGUACUCGAGAUCACCUUGAAUGUCUGGACAAUAUAGAUGGAUGUCUUUCCAGUAUUCAACUUCUGGACAGUUAAUCAAUACCCACUAGUGGGCAAUGACUAGCUCAUGUGGUUGCAACUUGUAGGAGUCUGGCAAAAUUCUAUAAACUUCAACAUCACUAGAGAGUAUGGAAAGAUUGAACUUCGGUGCAUCUACCGGCAUGGCUUCGUCUGUUUCUUUCAACGCUCCUAAAUACAACUUCAUGUAGGUGACGCACUCGUGCGCAAUAUAUGCUCCAGCUAUACAUCCUUCAGGCGCGGAUUUAUUAGCCACAUAAUCUUUGUAGUCUCCAAGUUGCCUAUAAAUCAAGUUGCAAAAUGUUAUGAUUAUUGAACAUGUAUAUAUAUAUAUUGAGGAAUUUAGGUGUAAAAAACGUACCUUUCCAUGGGAUACAUCCAAGUGUAGUGUACUGGACUGGUAAGCAACAAUUGCUCGGGAAGAUGGAUCAUCAGGUGAGGCAUAAUGUCAAAAAAAUUUGGAGGAAAUAUCCUCUCAAAUUUACACAUAAUAUAAAUGAUGUCCUCUUGCAUUUCCCGGAAGUUAGAUUUUUUCACUUCCCGUGUGCAUAACUUCUGGAAGAAUCUUGCCAACGCUACUAACGGCUCCACCACCUGACGGGGAAUGAACGGUCGAAUGAAAACAAGGAAGAGACGUUGUAGCAGGAUAUGACAGUCAUGACUCUUCAACCCGUACAUCUUAUUGUCCCGGAAGUUCACACACCGGGCUAUAUUUCCUGCAUAGCCUGAAGGAUACUUCACACAACUCAUCCACCUGAAAAUUAUGUUCUUCUGGUCAGGCUUCACGGUGUAAGGAGCUUGAGGCAUUUUUUUCUUUCCUUCUUUCAACCACAGAUGUCUUCUUAAUUGCAUUUUUUUUAGAUCAAUGCGUGCCUUAGGACCGUCUUUUGUCUUCCCCUCCAAGUUCAGCACUGUGCCCACCACACUGUCGCAAACAUUCUUUUCUAUGUGCAUCACAUCUAGGUAGUGUCUGAUCAACAACUUACUCCAGUAUGGGAGUUCCCAGAAUAUGCUCUUAUGUGUCCAGAAUUUGUACAUGUCGGGUCUUUCAGGUAUUGCCGCCACAGUAUUGGGAUGAUUGCUAAGCUAGCCAAAAUCGUACUCAUUAAGCACUGCUAAAAUUUCUUCUCCUGUCCAUCUUCUGGGAGGCACACCGUGUUCUACGGUCCCAUCAAAUGCUUUGUCAUUGAACCGCCAUUCGUGAUUAUAUGGAAGGAAAGCACGGUGACCCAAUCUGCAUAUCUUGUUGCAAUGAUUGCUGCUCCCCUCAUCGCUAAGGCACUCUGGACAAGCCUUGUAUCCCCUAACAACGUUGCCCGACAACAUCCCACGGGUAGGAAAAUCACUGAUGGUACCAACAACCAUGACAUGCAUCUGGAACAUCUCGUGCAUGUACUUGUCAUAAGUGGGAUGACCAACUUCCCACAAAAACUGAAGCUCUUCAAUCAAAGGUCUCAAAUACACAUCGAGACACUUCCCUGGAUAACCGGGGCCCGGAAUCAACAAACUCAACAUAUUGUAUUCCUUCUUCAUGCACAUCCAUAGAGGAAGGUUGUACGGUACCAAAAUCACCGGCCAUACACUGUAUUGAAGACUCAUGUUGCCAAAAGGGUUGAACCCGUCGGAUGAGAGCCCGAGCCUCACAUUUCGGACCUCUGACGCAAAAUGAGGAAACUCCCUGUCUAUAUGCUUCCAAGCCUCCCCGUCAACAGGGUGUAUAAGGGUAUCUUCGUCAUGCAAUUCCCUAUCAACGUGCCAUCUCAUAGCUUGGGCCGUGUGUGAAGACAUGUACAACCGCUCAAACUUAUCCCUCAACGGGAAAUACCGAAGUACCUUCACAGGUUUCCUAUUGCCUGCAGGAGUCAGCUUAUACCUGUCAGUGUGACAUACCGGACAUGCGUCAAGCCCACCAAGGUCAUUCCCUUCUGGAUCUUUACCCUAGAAGAGAACGCAGUCAUAUCUGCAUGCAUGGAUCUUGAUGUAGGAAAGCCCAAGAUCUUUCAGGAUACAUCGGACCUUACGAUGAGUGGUAGGAAGACGAUGACCGUGGGGCAGCAUCGAAGCAGUGUACUGUAGAUAAUCAUCAACAGCCUUCACGGUCGAUUUUGUCUCAACUUUAAUCUUCAUUACGUCCAUCACACUUUCAAGAACAGUCUUCUGACAACCGGGGUACACAGGGGUCUGUUGGAAAGCAAGCAGUUUGUUGUACUUUUCAAUAUCAGCAGUGUUAACAGCUCUAGGGAAGGGCUGCACCGGGUCAGGCAUAUACUGUCCUUGAGCGCAUACACCGCUCUCAUAAGGAAACAUGUCUUUGAUGAAUGCCGUUGUUGGAUCGUUGGAUGUACUGCCCGUCUCAGAAAAUUAGGCCAUGAUCAUGCGGACCCCCUGAUGAUGUUUCACCGUGAUAUAACCAACAUGUGUACUUCUCCCAAAACCCGUUACUCCUCAGGUGCUGCCAUACUUUGUCAAUGGGAAAUCGAUGCAUAUCGCUGCGACACUGACAUUUCGUGCACGGGCAAUAGAAAAUUGUAUUCCCGUUAGCAUUAGCCAGCGCAUAUUCUAUAAAACUCAUAACUCCUGCACCGUAUCUUUUGUCCCAUUUUAGAAGCGAAAUCCAACUCUUAUCCAUAUCCUGAAAAUAUAACAAAAUAUAUAUUUAUAACGCUGCUAGCUAAUUAUUAAUGAAAUUUCAUGCCAUAUAUAAAAUCUCAAUUCAUUUAGUAUAUAUUCUACGUACUACAACUAAUUAAUAACAAAUUAAUUAACAUACACACAUAUAUAUAUAUAUAUAUAUAUACUUAAUAAUUACAGAACAAUAUUAUACAUAUAUAUAUCUACAUCAUCACAAAAUCAUCAUUGUGGUAUAUACCAUCAACACAAUAUUAUAAAUUAAUUAACAUAUAUAUAUAUAUAUAUCUACUACUUAUAAACAACUUCAUAUAUAUUAUAUCAAAUCAUCAACCAAAUCGAUCAACAUAUAUGUAUAUAUAUACAUCCAACAUACUCAAAAUCAAUUAACUCGAUCACAAUCAAAAUCAUAUAUCAACAUCAUCAUGAACUCAUAUAUAUCAUCAACAACUUCAUACCAUAUCAACACAAUAAUAUUAUAAAUUAAUUAACAUAUAUAUAUCUACUAUUUAUUAACAACAAAUUAAUUCAUAUAUAUUAUCAAUUCAAAUCAUCAACCAAAUCGAUCAACACAUAUAUAUAUAUACAUCCAACGUACUCAAAAUUAAUCAACUCAAUCACAAUCAAAAUCAAUAAACUCAAUCACACUUAAAAUCGAUCAACUCAAAUAAAACUCAAUUAAUCAACAUAUAUAUACAUAUACGUACCUAUAUAUGGCUCCACAAACUAAUUAUGGACAGAUUUCGACAACACCCAAACUUUUUCUCCCGUUUUUCUUCUCCUGUUUUUUUCCCAGAUGAGCUGCUGCUGUCCAGAUCCGCAAACAUAAAGCACUUUAGCCGACGACAUAUUAAUUUCGUCGGCUAAACUUUUAAAUAUUUCGUCGGCCAUAGUUUGUGAACUUUAGCCGACGAAAUUUUUUUUUCGUCGGCUAAAGUUUACCAUAGCCGACGAAAAUUUAACUUAGCCGACGAAAGAUAAUUUCGUCGGCUAAAGUGGACUUUAGCCGACGAAAAAAUGCUUCGUCAGCCUGGUUUUUUUUUUUCGUCGGCUAAAGCCUUUCUUCUGGUAGUGCAAGUACCUGCAUGACAAGCACGCGAAUAAGAAUGCUAGCAAUGCACAAGAGAUAUAAGAUAUAGAUCGAGCAAGUGAGAGUUCUUAAUUUGUUCAAAAUAAGGGUAACUAUAGCUACUUGAUUAGUACUAAGUACUCUUAAUAGCUGUUUUGUAACACAUGUAAGGCCUGGUGUUAUUUUCUCAAACACCUUGACGUACAAUUGUGUUAAACACAUUAUCAUAUAAUAUUAUUGGAAUAUCUAGUUGUUGGCGUACGUAAUAUCUUUCUCGUCAGCAUUAAUUUAUCUUGGUUAAAUUCAAAUUAAUCAACAGGCCGGCAUGAACUGAAGUAAGGAGGUUCUCUCUGAAAUGACUUGGCCAAGAUAUGCUGACCCUUGGCCACCUGAUGAUGAUGAUUUGAAUUGUUGCAUGCUAUUAAAACUGAAGAAGAUAUGUAGAAGAUAUUCGUGAAGGUUAAUUGAUUCUGUUAUUAGUUGGCUGAUUCUAUCAUUGCUGUUAAUAGAGAUAUGUAUCUAUAGUUACCUAGUUUGUCUAGAGUUUCCUUCUGUACAAGAAGUCUUGUAGGGUUUCGGUGUAAUAGCUUGUAUAUAAGCUGUGUAACUCCUUCGAUAUAGUUUGGGCAAUAUAAUAUAGUUCAUUCCAAGUUUCUUUAUGGUAUCAGUAGCAAGCCAAUCCUCGGCCAAAUCCUAAAACACCGAAACACUCAAACAACCUCAUGACAGAAGGUGACGACGAGAAGAAAGUGCUAGCCCUAUUGAGGGAGAAGCUGCUCAAAGAAGCCUCUUCUUCUGGCGCUCUCGCACACACACCUGAACCAUGGGAGAUCUCAAAUCACCCUCUCUAUCUUCACCAUUCGGAUCAGCCUGGUGCGAUUCUCGUAUCACAAUCCUUGGCAGAAGACAACUACAUGCAAUGGAGCCAAUCCAUGGCCAUGGCAUUGCAGAUCAAAAACAAGAUUGGCUUCAUCAAUGGGACCUCACAACGUCCUACAGAAGACCAGGCAGAUGAGCGGCAACAGUGGGACAGAUGUGACAUUCUUGGCAAAACUUGGCUUGGAGCAUCUAUGUCGAAUCCUAUUGCCAAGAGUGUCAUGCACUGCAAAAGCGCUCGAGCAGUUUGGCUUGAGUUGCAAGAAAGGUUCAUGCAAUCCAACACCGUCCAGUUAUUCAACAUAGAGAAUGAGAUUCACGGAUGUGAACAAGGUACCGAUUCUGUGACUACCUUUUUCACUAAACUCAAGGCACUAUGGGAUGAGCGAGAUGCCCUUUGUGAUCUAAGUCCCUGUGCAUGUGAGGAAGGUGGCAAGCUAUGUGAGUAUGUGAAAAAUAAAAAAACAAUGAAGUUUCUCAUGGGAUUGAAUGAGAAUUAUGCGCAAAUACGUGGCACCAUUGUUGCUAUUGAGCCUCUCCCGGUUGUCAACAAAGCCUACUCGAUGGUUCUUCGUCAUGAGAAACAGGCUGAGGCAGCCAUGGGAAGCAAACAAGGCGUGCAACAACAAGAAGCUGCAGCCUUUACCGUGAGAGGCAGUGACCGAGACAAUAGCCGAGACAACGGCAGAUCCAAUAGCCGUGCCGAGAGCGCCGAAGGCAGCAAGCCAAAAUAUGAAAAGUGCAAUAAGAGUCACCUUACCGAGAAUUACCGCCAGCAUCUAAAGUGCACGUUUUGCGGUUGAAAGGGUCACACCUAUGACAUUUGCCGAAGAAGAAAGGCCAUAGCAGAUCGAAACUCCAGGAGUAACCAUGUUGCUUCGAUGUUUGAAGAUGGAAACCCGGUCAACUUCCCUUUCUCAAAGGAAGAAUGCAAGCAGAUUGUUGAUAUGCUGAACAAAAACAAAGCAAGCACCGCAAAUCAUGUUGGUAAUUCUUCUAGCUUUGAAGAACUAUCAGGUAAAGCUUUACAUUAUGUACGACAUGAUCAGAAAAGUACUUGGAUUUUAGACAGUGGGGCUAGCGAUCAUAUUAUAUGUACUCCUCAUCUUCUCACCACUAAAUAUCCUGUCCAAAAUAGAAGUGUCAAACUUCCUGAUGGUAACUUUGCUAGAGUGAGUCAUGUUGGGACAGUGUCUUUUUCGUCCACCUUUGUGCUUCACAAUGUUUUAUGCGUACCAUUGUUUUACCUGAAUCUUAUAUUUAUCAGCAAGCUUGCACGUGAUUCAUUAUGCGUCACAGUCUUUCUAAAAGAGUUUUGUUUCAUACAGGACCUACGAUCGGGGAAGAUGAUUGGGACGAGAUCUGAGAAGGAAGGCCUAUAUUGUCUCGACAAAGCUAAGCAAGGCACAUGUCACAUGGUCUCGAGUCAGUCAACCUCUAUUUGGCACCAAAGGCUUGGACAUCCCUCGAGUCGAGUAUUUUCUAAGUUUUCCUUUCUUUCUAAUAAAUCUUGCGAUGCAAGUAACUGCUCUGUGUGCCCUUUGGCCAACAAACUCGGAAGUCUUUUCCUUUAAGUACAAUUUCAAGCAAAUUUCCUUUUGAAUUGAUUCAUGUUGAUAUUUGGGGAGCUUAUCAUGAACCUACUUAUUCGGGAGCCAAAUAUUUUCUCACCAUAGUUGAUGACUACACUAGGAGCACUUGGGUCUUUUUGAUGUCACAAAAAUCUGAAGCUCGAGGUUUAUUAGUCAAUUUUAUUCACUUUGCCGAAAACAGUUUGGUGCAAGUGUCAAAAUUGUGUGUAGUGAUAAUGGUCCUGAAUUCAAACACAACGAAUUUUAUGUGUCAAAAGGUAUUUGUCAUCAAACAAGCUGUGUCAACACACCAAGUUUCUUGGUGUGGUUGAGAGAAAGCAUCGACAUCUCCUCAACAUGGCACGAGCUUUACUUUUCCAAGCUAGUCUUCCUAAAAGUUUCUGGGGUGAUGCCAUUCUUACAUCAGCUUAUUUAAUCAAUAGAACUCCUACACCACUAUUAGGAGGUCAGAGUCCUUUCGAAAAACUGUUUCACAAAGACCCAAGUUAUUCUCACCUCAAAGUUUUUGGUUGUCUUUGUUUUGCUUCCUCACACCCAAACAAACCAGCCAAAUUCGAACCAAGAGCUCACAAAUGCAUUUUUUUGGGCUACCCAUACGGGCAGAAAGGUUACCGGGUCUACAACAUAGAAACCGAGCAAGUUACUAUGUCCAGGGACGUGAUUUUUCACGAAACAGAAUUCCCCUAUGCUGCUAUACACAGUCCUAAUUCUACUAGGGUUACAUCACAAGACUUUGGGCUCUCUAGGGUUUCCAAUGACAUUCGGGUUUCAGGACCAGGUAGGGUUUCUUUUCCACCACAUAACAAUUUGCUUCCGCCACAAGAAAGGGUUUCCUAGACUGCCUUUAGUGUCGAACCACAAACAUAGAUACUUCCAACAGUUCUCCAACCCUCACCUACCUUCACCCACCGAUCUAGUGUCACCAGCUCCGAAUCCUAACCCUACUCUCCUCAUCGAGUCUUCCUCUUCUGCCUCGGAUCCACACACUACUCCUUCUUCUCCUUGUCGCUCUUCCUGUCCUACAAAGCCUCCGACCUUCUUGCAAGACUUUCAUGUCGAGACAGCGCUACCUUCCAGGGCAGUCCCAUCAUCUGCUCCGAUGUCAGGUACUACUCACUCCCUUGCUCAUGUGUUGUCUUAUGAUCGUUUAUCACCUUCUCAUCGUGUUUUUAGCACUCAACUCACCCUCCAUAAGGAGCCCACUUCUUAUUCUGAGGCAGUACAAGUCCCAGAAUGGCGAACUACCAUGCAAGCUGAGAUUAAGGCUUUGCAAUCUAACAGAACAUGGAGUUUAGUGCCUUUACAGCCCAAUAAACGUGCUAUCGGUUGCAAAUGGGUUUACAAGCUCAAGUUUAAUCCGGAUGGCACCAUUGAGAGAUACAAAGCUCGCCUUGUAGCUAAAGGUUAUAGUCAGAUAGCAGGAAUUGAUUAUCGAGAGACCUUUGCACCGGUUGCCAAGCUUACCACCGUGCGUGUCUUACUCGGCCUUGCUUCCAUCAAUGGUUGGCAUUUACAUCAACUUGAUGUCAAUAAUGCCUUCUUGAAUGGAGAUCUUUCCGAGGAAGUCUAUAUGCAUCUUCCUCCUGGAUUUGGAGGAAAGGGGGAGAAUCGUGUGUGCAAGCUACACAAGAGUUUAUACGGAUUGAAACAAGCCUCGAGACAAUGGUUUAUCAAGCUUUCUACUGCUCUCAAAACCGCAGGCUUUCAUCAGUCAUGGUCGGACUAUUCUCUUUUUGUACGUACACGAGGAAGAAAGUUCACUGCUCUUUCAGUAUAUGUGGAUGAUGUAAUAUUGGCAGGAAAUUGCAUACAAGACAUCGAAGACACAAAGACCUUUCUUUUGAACCAAUUCAAGUUGAAGGAUCUUGGGCAACUUAAGUACUUUCUAGGCAUUGAAGUGGCAAGAUCCAAGAAAAGCUUGGCGUUAUGUCAGCGGAAAUACGCCCUUGAAGUCCUUGAGGAUGCAGGCUACUUGGGUGCAAAACCAUCUCGGUUUCCUAUUGACCAUAACCUCUCCCUCACACAAGCAGAAGGUGAUUUAUUGAAAGAUCCAUCACAAUACAGGAGAUUAGUGGGACGGCUUAUCUAUCUGACCAUCACUCUGCCAGACUUGGUAUAUUCAGUACAUAUCCUAAGUCAGUUCAUGAAUCAACCUCGUCAACCACACAUGGAUGCAGCCUAUCGAAUUUUACAUUACAUGAAACACACUCCUGGACAAGGUAUCUUGCUUCCUUCGACAGGAAAAUUAGAACUCACUGCAUUUUGUGACGCUGAUUGGGCGAGAUGCAAGGACACUCGACGAUCCAUUACUGGAUCUUGUAUCGUGCUUGGCAAUGCACCGGUUUCAUGGAAAGCUAAGAAACAAGGUACGGUUUCUCGUUCAAGUGCAGAGGCUGAGUACAGGUCUAUGGCAUCCACUUGUUAUGAGGUAACGUGGCUCAGAAAUAUCUUAAAGGAUUUAAACGUACGUAAUUUAGCUCCUACAAGAUUAUUUUGUGAUAAUCAGGCUGCCAUUUACAUAGCUACCAAUCCGGUUUUUCAUGAACGUACGAAACAUAUUGAAAUUGAUUGUCAUGUUGUACGUGAGAAAGUGCAACGAGGAGUAGUGAAGAUGGUUCAUGUUGGAACCAAAGACCAGCCGGCAGAUCUCUUCACCAAGCUGUUGAGCUCUAUUCAGUUUGAGACAUUGCUUAACAAGUUGGGUGUCAUCAAUAUUCAUUCCAACUUGAGGGGGAGUAUUAAAACUGAAGAAGAUAUGUAGAAGAUAUUUGUGAAGGUUAAUUGAUUCUGUUAUUAGUUGGCUGAUUCUAUCAUUGCUGUUAAUAGAGAUAUGUAUCUAUAGUUACCUAGUUUGUUUAGAGUUUCCUUCUGUACAAGAAGUCUUGUAGGGUUUCGGUGUAAUAGCUUGUAUAUAAGCUGUGUAACUCCUUCGAUAUAGUUUGGGCAAUAUAACAUAGUUCAUUCCAAGUUUCUUUACAUGCAUCAAUCACUAAAUGGCUUUAAAAAGUUGGUUAUGUUUUAGAUGAUGUAUGAGUAGUAGAAUAUAGAUCCGAAUUGAUACUCUCUUUCAUUGUAUCUGUCGAACAAUCUUUUAUGGGAUAAUCUUCGAGUUUAUUUGACCUGCAGUUUCUGCAGUUUCAAUAUGCACCAUCGAUCUGCGUCCAACCAACUAUCGCUGAUUACUUUUGAUAGGCAUAUUGGAUACCAUGCCACCAGAAACAUCACCGUUCUUGAGAAAACCAAUCCUUAAAUGAUCUUUUAUAAACAUAUGAAUACCAGGAGAAACAUACAACUGCAAUGCAAGGCACCUCAUUUCUUGCUGUUAGCGCGCACACGGGGUGACUUGUCUUUCAGCACUCCUAUAUGGUGCGUUGAUAAUAUUCUCUCAAUCUAUAUAUAGGUGAAAACUAUAAUAUUUUCACUGUUAAUCCCAUUGGUACGUAAGAGACAACGUACUGAAUUUGAUCCACAAAUCUGUAUCGUCUCCACUCUGCCGCACCUCCCAAAUCAACAAUCAAAGAACUGUAAGUAAAUGAAUGUUAGGGCUUUAACUUGAUGGAUUAUAAUUGUAAUAUGGAUUUUGGGAAAGAAUGAGGGAACGAAGUAACUAAAGAGAAUGAAGAAUCAGGAUUAGAUCGAGUGCAGAAGCCUCUAACACACUAACUGGUUGACUAGUAGUACACCGUCCAGAGACGUACUCCUUGAAACAAAACUUGGAUACAGUAUUUGCUUAAAGAGCUCGAUCACCAUGUCAGCCCAUUCGGCAAAGGCUAUUUCUUUCAAUACUAGUCUGGGGCGGCGGUCAAAUUAUAUAUAACAUCUAUCAAACUAUAUUUGAAUUUGUAUUCAGAGUUACAGCUAGGUAACUGGGCUGCCAUUCCCCGUUUACAAAGAUUCGAUCGAAUACCGCAUGAUUACCAGAUUCAUAUACUGCUAAAAUUGCAGCUUGGUCGAUCUCUGUUGUCGACAUCAACUAUUGAGAUAAUCAAGCAAAAACCCUUAAUCUGAGCAUGUGUUUAACGCUUAGUUGCCGCAUGAUAAGAAAUGACAAAACAAAACCCCCUUUCAUUAGAAGAAGUCAGCUGCACCAAUGAAGCAAGAAUCUUAGCCAGUUCAUCUCAGUACGAUCGAUACUGGGUUGCAGAAUAUAUAAUAAUUGUUUGUGAAGUUAAGCCUGUGGAUAAAGAAUGAUUAAGUGAUGCCAUAGGCUUUAGCAAGCUAAUGAUCAAUAUUUUGUUCGAUAAUAGAAUUGACAGAAUACAUAGUUGGAUAGUGUGAUCUUUAUUCUGAAGUAGAGUAUAAAUUCUGUCUGUUUCGUAUCUUGCAAGAAAGGAGUGUUUAAUUUCGUUCUCUAUUUUUCUCUCGGAGUCUGAGAUGGGAAUAAUAACAAGAUGACGAGGGAGAGAAGCUGUACAGGGGCCUCUAGUAGUAUUACUGUACGCCUGUACCUCACCGACCCAGAAUUGAAGAACCCCAAUUUUUAUAAUUGUGAUGCCAGGAUCCGUCCUCGCAUUUCUUUAUCUCUAUAGCUGAAGGUCGCAGCAAAAAGUUGACAUUAUUAAUUCUUUUGCAACUCACGCCACCGCACUAUGACACUAGCCAUCUCCUUUGAUGAUUAUCCUUAUCCCUAGCUCCCUCCAGAUCUUUCAGCUAGUUUCACACUAUUGCCUGCAUGCAGGUAUAUAUGGUGUAUAUGUCUUUGUAUAUAUAUACUGGACGCUGUAUAUACGUGCUGAGCUCCAUUCCUGGAAUGACUCAUCAAUUUUUUUUCGUUUGAUUGCAUCUAUAGCGAUCGACCGAUCAAUAAACUUUAUAAAAAUGUAUUAGACAUGAGGCAUGAACGUUGGUAUCGAAAGUAAAACUCCAAGUGAAUAUUGACCUUUUCUGAGUGCUGCAUAUAUAUAUAUGUAUGCAUUGCCCAAAUAUGCAAGUAGUACGAUAGAGCAUCAGUGAAUGUACGGUCAAGAACACCAAAAAUAUAAGGGUGACCCUUGGCUUCCCAUUUGGGCCAUUUAUACAACUAUGCCGGCCGUUGCUUCACAAAGUAGGGUUGGGCGCAGGUCGAGCCCGGACUGUUUUUUUUAGGGCCCGGGCCCGGGCCCGGUCCGGUUGUAGUGUGACGGGCCGGGUUUAGUCGUCAAAAUAUCAAGGCCCGGGUAAAACCCAGUCCGGGUGUGUUAAUUACAGGGCCCAGGUAAAGCCCGGACCGGUAUCAUCUGGGCUGAGCCCGCCCAGGUUUUCGAACCCAGCUCUUCUUUUUGGCUGGUAAUGAAAGCAAAAUAGCAAAUAACCUGUGUCUCUGUAACAGAAAGGCAAAUACUGCAAUUGCCUACCAAGCACCAAAUAUAUUGUUCAGUGUUCACCAUUUGUCCACUACAAAUACAAAGUCAUAACCCACCAAAUUAACCAAAGUUCAAUUGAAAGUUUGAAACUUGAAGGUUGAAACUUUGAAAGAAAACCAGAAAAUCCAAACAUGCAUAAUCAAAUCAAUCGAUGGGCAGAUCCUCCAAAUCUUCAAUGCAAGCCUGGACCUGAGAUUUUGAGACCCGAGUCAAACUCUCAAAAUUGGGCCCUCAAAUCGUAGUUUGCAUCUAGUUUAAUUUUUUUAUUUAUCUAAAGAAUUUAAGAAACUAAAUAUAAACUCAAGAUUUAACUAUGUAUAAAACAAUAUCAAAAAAUAUUUGGAUUAUAAUUAAUAUUUUAAUAAUUUAAAUUACAUUAUAAACCUUACGUUUUAUUUUCUUCCAAAGUUUACCUUUUGUUUUGGGUACAAAUUUUGAAUAGUAAUUAAAUGGUAUAGACUUUUAAUACUAUUUCCUUGUUUCUUUGACUCAAAAUAUAUUAUUUUAUAUAUAUUGUAUAGUUAAACCAAGUUUGUUUGGGCCCAUUCAGUACCUCUUUAAUUCUUUAAUUGCUGUAAGAAAAUGGAGCUCUGUGGUUGUACUUUCUUUUCGAUGGGAACAGUAAUUGUACUUUUCCUUUGCGUUAUUUAACUGUUGUUUAUCAUGUAAAGAGCUGUAACUUUCUUUUUCUAGGCCUCUUGAACUCCAAGCCCUGAGUCGACCGGCUCGUCAGACUCGUAUCAAGUCCGACCCUGCUUUAAUGCACACCUUGACUUCAACUUUAAUCUCCAUUCUCCAAUGCACUUCAAUACUUACCUUGUACCUGUAAGACAAGGUGUAAAAUAGAUUCAGUUGGCCUGCAUUUACAAAUGAAUGAGCAUAUUUUAAUGGUGGCAGGGCUUAAGAGAUUCAGUUUUUCAGUACAAUAGAAUUUAAAUUUUGUUUUCCAAUGCAUUAGAAAAUUUUCAAUUGCAAAUGAAUGUGUCUGUUAGCAAAGAUAAGUAGAUAACAACGACAACUCAUUCAAGUUCUUUGUAAAUGCAAAAUGCCUAUCUUAGUAUCUUAGAGGCCAGUAGACCAGUAGUACACUAGUAAACACAAUGACACAAUGGCAAGCCAAUCUAGCAUAUUACCAUCUUACUCAUAUCAAGUAACAUCACUACUGUUCUAACAACAUCACUACUGUUUUAAGUUUAUAACACUACAAAUAACAAACAAUAAUGAAUCAAAACAACAUCACAAUAGCACAAGCACUGAAGCAACAUCACAAUAUACACCAACAAGUCAACAACAUGCUAUCAUAUAUGUAAGAUCACCAUUCACCAAUUCAUGGGCAUAAACACUGAUUUCACAUAGGAGAAAGAAGCUGAUUCACAUAGAUUUCACACUGAUUUCACAUAAGAGAAAGAAGCUGAGAAUUGAGAAGAAUGGUACCUGAGUCAGCCUUGCCACCUUGGUUCGUGGUCUGAGUGAGAGGGACAGACAGUGAGAGAUGACUACUCGGCACCGGAGAGACAAGAGUUUGAGAGACGACAACUCGGCACAGGAGAGACCGAGAGCACUGAGAGUCUGAGAGACGAGGCCACGAGUCCACGACGACUCAACGAGUGAGAGGGAGGCGAGUGAGGCGACGAGGAGCGGCUGUGAUGGCGCGGCGAUGCGAGUGAGGCGACGAGGAGCGACUGCUAUGGUGCGGAGAUGCGAGGCGACGACGAGGAGCGGCUGCGAUGGCGCAGCGAUGCGAGUGAGGCGAGGACGAGGAGCGGCUGCGAUGGCGCGAUGAUGCGAGGCGAUGACGAGGCGAUGGAGGCGCGGCAAAUGGGCGAUGCAUGAGAGAGGCGCGGCGAUGAGAGUGAGACUGAGAAAUUGACUAAUUGAGAGUAAGGGCUGAGGAAGUGAGGAGUCGAUCCACUCGAUCGAUGGUUUAGGGUUAUCUGGUUAUGUUCCAGUGUCAUUGUACCUAUUUUAUAAGUUUAGGACCACUUACGAAAGCCAAUUAGAUAAUAACACCUAAGGUCCUGGGUUUCCGGGCUUUUUUUGUUUAAAGAUUUGAAGGCCCGGGCCUGGCCCGGACAGAACAAAGCCCGGCCCGUUUAUCACAUACCAACACACGAGCCCGGAAAAAAGCCUGGCCCGUCGGUCCGAUCCGGGUUUUUUUUUCUUCUUCGAGCUUUUUGCCCAGCCCUAUCACAAAGGCAGUAGCUACUAGCUAGGAAAUCGAAAAAAAGGCAGUAGCGUGCUUGGUAUUCCGCAAAGGAAAAUGAUUCUAGACCUUAGACCUUAUUAAGGCCUAAGAUUUUAUGCCUCAAAUCUACCUGGCAUAUCAAAUCACUUAGACACAUCACAUAUUAAAAAAUUUAUGUCAUGUAAUACUUAAGUAUAAAGACCAUCUUACCAUUUGGUCCAUUUCAAACAAUGACUCUAAUAAAUUUCAGUUUUUCAUUAAAUAAUAAAACUAUUUUAGCUUUCCUUCUUCUAAAUAUCUAAUUAAAUAUAAAAAAUAUAACAUCAAAAUAACAUUAUAUUAUAUAUUUAUAAUACAUGUAUAUUAUAAAAAAAAAUACAUGUAUAUAUAUUAUAUAAAUAAUAUGUAAGUAAAUCAUUUAGAGAAAUUAUUUGUAUAUAAAUUAUUUUCAGACGAAUUAUAGAAAAUUUUGAUGAAUUAUAUCCAAAUUAUCUUAUAUUAGUGUUUUUUUUAUGAAUUAUAAUUGCUUUUUGGACGAAUUAGGGUUAGAGUUAGAGUUUAUUUGACAAAACUAAUUAUUAAUUAAAAAAUAGUUAAUCUUCAUAUUGAUAUAAGAAACAUUCCUUAUAUUAUACACAAUUAGUGGUUGCUAUUAAUAUGUAAUAUUUGUUUCCAUUACCUAAUAAAGUACAUUAAUAUCAUUGAUUCACCCCUUAAAACGUAAAAAGAAAUAGAAAUGGUAAAAUUGGUAAUGCAAUGUUUUUGAUUUGGCAAGAUUUAUUAUGUGGAAUCAAAAAUAAAUAUUUUUAUUUACUUACAUAGCAUGACACAUAGGAUUAAGACCACAAAUUUUAGAUCUUAUUAAGGCCCUCUAGCACUACCCUUCUGUAAAUUGCAUAUAUGAGAUCGAGCUCGAUCAUAUCACAAUAAAGGAUAGUAUACACGUGCAUAUAUAAAUAUAUAUAUAUAUAUAUAUAUUAUAUAUAUAUAUAUAUUUAUACAGGACCCUUCUAAUGAGAGAUCCUUUUUUUUGACAUAUAUGAGGGAUGGGGGAUUACACCAACUUUUCGAUUAUAUUUUUGAAUCUCUACCGUUCAGUUUGUUGGUCCUUACAUAUAGAUCAAUUCUAUAAAUUUUCAGCAAAUUUGGUGAUCGUUAAGGUGUCGAACAAGAUUAAAUCAAUGAACCAACCAAAUCUGCCAAACUUGAACCGUUUAUGCUUAUAAUUAUAAAUCAUAGUUUUGAAUACCUUAAGGAUCACCAAAAUUUCAAAAAAUUUGUAGAAGUGAUCUACCCAUAUAGAACUACAUAUUGAACAGUGGCGAUGUGAUUUUGUGAUCGGAAAGUUGGUGUAAUCCCCCAUCCCUCAUAUAUGUCAAAAAAAGGGAUCCCUCAUGCAUUGGAAAGGGCAUGUGUGUGUGUGUGUAUAUAUAUACACACACACAGAGUCGUUCUAAAGAGGACGUCCGCACAGCCUUUAAAGUGUGGACGUCCUCUUCGUUCGCCACCAUACGGCGCCGGUGAGGGCGCGCCUCCACCCCAGCGGACUCCAGCAGCGUCCCUGACCACUUUCCCUCCCCGGCGAGUCUGCUGAAUUCCAGUUUUCCGGNNNNNNNNNNNNNNNNNNNNGAGCUUUUCAAUUGAUGGGGAUCAAUAUUCAUGCACUCUUCUAGAAUGAGAUCGAUGACAGACGACCGAUGACAUAUAUAUCAUGCAUCAUCUAGAAUUAUCCGAGUCCAAAAUUAAUUUUUAUGAAUUAUUAAUUAUUACUUCUCUGAAUCAACUAAAAUUAUUUUUCUUGGAUAAAAAUUGAAAUUUCAUACAAAAGGAAUCAAACUUUACAUUAUUUUUGGAUCUUAAAAUCAGACUUUGGAUCCAACAAAAUUUCACCCCUAAUUUAAAGCUUAAUGCAUGUACGUGUUAAUAUAUUUAACCAAAACAGAUACAGUAUUUGCUAAUCAUGUUCUCGGAUUUCUUGGAUGAUGUAGUCUGGUCUAACCUUAUGUCGACUGAGAAAUAACAAUUUGGACUAAAUUAAAGGCAACUACAUACACAUCAAUUUACAUGGAAAAUAUAGAGGAUAACUUUGGGGACCUCAUUUGUAUGGCAUGAGUCUGCCUUUCGCCAUCGAUGUGUGUCGUGUUGUUUUGGCCAGACGCAUCAUUGUGCGAGAGGGAGAUAACACUUCUUUAUUAUCUCCAAUGAUGAACCUAAAAAUUAAUUUUCAUAUUGUCAAAUUACAUUUAGUAUUACGUAUAUUGGGUCUGUAUUAUAUUCCUUUGAAACACAAGAAAUAAUGGAAACCCUAUGAACAGUCAUGAUCAUAUUCUUGGAUUGUACCUUAUGAUUUCCAUGAAAUUAACCACAUAUAUGCAACAUUUGUAUAUAACUUUCUCUCCUCCCUUUUCAUGAAUUGGAAGCGAAUCCAUAUAGAAAAAGGAGGUCCCAAUUGGAUAAAUCCAACUAGCUAGUCUCUCCAACUCGAUCAUCGAUAUCCAUCAGAUAUAUGCUGCAGGAUAAUGAUAGAUAUGCCAAGAAGUUAAUGACCUCAAGUUAAGGCCUUGCUACAAGCUCACUACAAGAAAAAGAGAGAAAGAUCGAAAAGAAUGCACAUAUUUAGGCACAUAAAACAAGAUAUAUAAGAAGGUGAAUCGCCGUACAAAGGACACGUUGUUGUUAACUUCCGUAUGCAUAGAUUCGAAGUUGUGCAUUCGAACUUUAAUCUCUGUAGUGCAUCCGAUCGUUGUCAAGUAAUGAUGUUAUAACCAAUCCAAUAUCUUCGAACCCAAAUAUUAUAUAAAUCACAAUAAUCAAAUUGAAAUUACAAACAAUAAAAAAUAUGAAAUUGAAAUUACUAACUUAAACAGAUAGAGGCUUGCGAAACAGUGACCUAAGACAGAAAUUCGCCUAUCUUUUAACUAUAUAUAUGUCUAUAUAUAAAUAUAGUUUAUUUUCUAUUAGAAAAACCCAACAGAAAACCCACCAAGCUCAAUCAAGCAUUUACAUCAAUUUAAUUAGUCACAAGGAGAGUACCUUAUAAAGACCACCACUUUUAGUUCUUCUUCCAUGUGUGGGAUUUAGUUCCAACAAAUGAUAUAUACAUCCAUUUGUGAAAUAUCUAAUCAAACAUUUUCUUGUUUUCCUUCACUUUCAAAACCCUUUAAUUUCUAUCUGAUUCUGAGCAAAUGCCAAUCCACACCCCCAUUCCAUCGCCUAUAUAAACACUUCCAAGACACCCCAAAACUCACUCCAACAAAACCUCAUCAAGUAUAACUAGUACGUACUGCAACCAUAUACUCCACGCUCCACAUUUCUCAGUUACUCACCCAUUAGCAUUACAUACUUUGCCUUGUUUGAUAUAUACAUUGUUGUUUUGGACCUUACCGAAAGACGAUUAACUUGCAAUGGAGGCGGUGACAAAGAUGGUGUCCGAGAGACCGGUGGUGAUCUUCAGCAAGAGCUCAUGCUGCAUAAGCCACUCAAUCAAGACCUUGCUUUCCGACUUUGGGGUGAACCCAGCAGUGUAUGAGCUUGAUGAGAUGCAAAGAGGGAGAGAAAUAGAGCAAGCUCUGUUGAGGCUCGGGUGCAGCCCAUCUGUUCCGGCUGUGUUCAUUGGUGGCGAAUUUGUUGGCGGAGCCAAUGAAGUCAUGAGUCUUCAUCUUAAGCGCUCCUUAAUCCCAAUGCUUAAGCGUGUCGGUGCAUUGUGGGUUUAAUUUGUUGGCGGAGCCAAUGAAGUCAUGAGUCGUCAUCAUCAUGUUAGCUAAGCACUUCCUGUCAAGAAUCUUAAUUAGUUAUGCAUGCAUAAGAGAUUAAGUGUGGGAUAAUUAUAUAUGACAUAUAGAGCCUGUGAGAGAUUUUAUUUUUAUUUUUUUAAAUAAGGCUACUAUUUCUACUUAAUUAGUAUUAAGUACUCUUACUAGCUUGAAAGGGUUAUUAGCCUUUUUGUGAUCCAAUGUACUUCGUGUUAUUUUCCCAAACACCAAUUGAAGGGGUUGAUAUUUGUGUUCAACUCAGUAUUGGUAUGGGAAGGAGAAUAUAUAUAUAUAUAUAUAUAUAUAUAUAUAUAUAUAUAUAUAUGUUAACCAAGUUGGUAUUAUUACAUUUCUCAUGCAAUGUAGAUCAAUACAUGUAUGCAUAAUUGGUAGUAAGGCUCGCAGUUCCAAAGACUUCAUGUUGAGUUGUGCAUAUAUGCCUAUGAAGGAUAUUCAAUUUAAUCAAGGCAUUACCUUACAAGGAGAUGUUCUCAACUUCUACUAAUAAGGAUAUAUCAAAGUAAUUAGAUGGCAUUGCUAGCUCAUUAUCAAAGACAGCUCCCCUCAUGAAUUUAUGAUGUGUUAUCUAAACCAAGUGGAUGUGAAAUUAGUAAGCCUGAAAAGAUGGAAGUCUAUAUAUAUGAAUAUUUGAAUGCAGGACUUCAGUGCGUACGUACUAGUUGAAGGGAAAAGAACACAGAUGAUUUGUAAAUUACAGUAUUCGCUAUACCAACUUAAACAGGCUAUCAAACAAAUGAUAUCUAAAAUUUCCUUUGGUUUAAAUAUGUUUUAGAUUAUAUGUCGGGGUGACAUUUCUUGGGUUUCAAUUUCAAGUAGUUCCUCUCAGAUAUGGGGGCACAAAACAAGUUAAAUAGGAGCUAGGAAGUUAAUUAACUCAAUUAGCUAGUUACAUUACUGCAUGUUAGGUUUCUAAGCCAUGAUUACUAAUAGUUAAGUUUCUCCGGUUCACACGUGUAUAUGAGAUUUGCCUUCUGCAGUCCUGCUAUUUCAAUUGAACCACGAAACACGAGGGGAAAAUAAUAUCGUAAGAUUCCUAAAUUAUAAGAAUUAUAUUGUGAUUUGAGUACAGAUUUCUAUUUAGGACUUGGGAUUCAACACUGUAUUUCUGAGUUCUGAGAAUAUUGUGCUGCCCUUGGACUGAGAACAUACACCUUUGUCGGAGGGCCUUGGGUUGUUUACGCAGAUAUGAAUUAAUGGAGAUGGUAACUGCCAUUGGACUGGGUUCAUGUUCAUAACUCAAUUUCUUAAACACUUUGCAUGUGCUGAUAGAAUCAAGUGACACAUUUGAGUGAUUUGACAAGAAUUGUUGCCAGCACCAAUUAAGAAGCACGAAUCACCGCCAAUCUUAAUAAGAUGUUUGUAUAGUAAACGUUGAUGGAACAAAUUAAACAUAUGUGGAUGAUCAUUAUAUGCAUCCGUAGCAGUUAGCAAGCAGCUAGCUAGGGAUCUGAUUUGGUUCGCUAACAGAAAAUGAUUAAUGAACACUUGUAUAUAGAUUUCUAUUCCUCUUCUUCUUCUUUUUUCCCAUGAUCCGCAUUAAGAUUUGGGCGGAGAUAGUGUUCUGAGUAUUGGUAUCUAGAAAAGCAACGUUAAAGAAAGCUACAGGAAAGGGCCUGAUGAGCCUCAUCCCUUUCUUCCUCAUGCAUCUUUUCUUUCAGUGAUCGAGAGCUAGAGAAUCUGUACAGGAUCUGUACCUCAUGCCCUCACCAAACCAGCUAAUAAUCUUAGAUUGUGAUGCCACGAUCCGUCCUUGCAAUCUUUAUCUGUAAAUUAAGCUAAAAAGUUGACAUUCGAUCAUUCUUUUUCCAACUUACACUAUGACACUAGCUUUCCUCCUUUUAGUUCAUAACGUAGAUCUUAUCCCUCUUAUCAGGUUCUUACAUAUCUAUAUUAAAACCUUGUGAUCGAUGUACAGUCCAGGAGCCUUAUUGACAGCUUUUCCGAUCUGUAGCUUCUCCCAGUUGGGGCCAUUUUAGAUCAAUCCCUGGCGAGAUAGAACUCCUCAAAGCAUUUUGUAGAGAUCUUCUGUAUAUAUUAGGUAUACUUUUGACGUUCCCAUCAAUAUUGUGUCCAAUAUUCGAAUUGGUGAUGCAAAGCUGGAAAAUAAAUAAAGUUAGGGCCGGGGCUUCCAGUUGAUGGGGAAUAUAGUCCUGCAGUCUUUUCCAUCGAGAUGACUCACAUACCAUGUAUUGAACCCUAGAGUAUAAGAAUAGGCAAUUGACAGGAAAAUAUAUAAUGAAAGAAGCAAAGAGGUGUUGUCUGGAACGUGUCAUCGACAUGGCUUCUCUAGCUAGCUUAUAUAUUCAUAAUUACUUAGAUAAUUGAAAAUUUUCUCUUUACAAAAAAUAAUCAAGAUUUCAAUAUAAAUAGCUAGUUAUGCUAUACAUAGCAGUAUAGCUGUAUAUGAUUUAAAACAGUGUCCUUUUCAUGAUUGGAUUCGAUCAAAUGCAAGAAGGAAAAGGAGGUCCCAAUUGGAUAAAUCCAACAAUUCUCUCCGACUCAGAAAAUAUUCGAGCUGCAGAAUAGAUACAAAAUGAAACACCAUGCAGAUCUAUAUAUGAUCAUAUCAAAUUUCCAUGAGCACAAAUAUAUUAAGUAUUAAUGAUUACUAAUGGAAUAUAACACCCUAGUAGGAAAAGUAACCUAUAUUUACGUGAUUCGUGUGAUUUUUUACGAUAAUAAGCAUAUCGAAAAAAGCAUGCGAAUCGUUUUUCCUCGUUACUAAUAGAAAUGAAGCAACAUACACCAAAUGAGAAACAAAAACGAAGAACAAAAUGCAUAUAUGGCAGUAAGGUAAGGAUCGAUGGACCAUAUCUAGGAUAAGAAUAUAUGUGAAACCGUACCAAGGACGCGUCUUUUUAUCCGUAUGUUAAAAUUCGACAUUGUGCAUUCAACUUUGAUUCUCUUAGCUAGUGCAGCUUUUGGAUAGCUGUCUAGAAAUGAUCGAUAUCAAAGUUUGUGAAAUCACAAAAUCAAAUUGAACAUUCUUAUUUUCCUUCUUUAUCAAAACCCUUUAACUUUUAGACAAUGCCAAUCAACUCUCCCCCAUCUCCUAUAUAUACACUUCCAUGGCACUCCAUAACUCACAAACACAUCAAACACCUCACCAUUACAGAUUCCUCCGAAAGCUCUAAUCUCUAUUUCCUCCGAAAUCUAAACACAUUUCACUUACCAACCGGCCGUUUCCAUUAGCUUACACUUCGUCUUCUAGUCAUUACAUAUUCACCUUGUUUACCGGAAGAAAGCUGCUAGCUAGCAAUGGAGGCGGUGACAAAGAUGGCGUCCGAGAGACCAGUGGUGAUCUUCAGUAAGAGCUCAUGCUGCAUGAGCCACUCAAUCAAGACCUUGCUUUCCGACUUUGGGGUGAACCCAGCAGUGUAUGAGCUUGAUGAGAUGCAAAGAGGGAGAGAAAUAGAGCAAGUUCUGUUGAGGCUCGGAUGCAGCCCAUCUGUGCCGGCUGUGUUCAUUGGUGGCGAAUUUGUUGGCGGAGCCAAUGAAGUGAUGAGUCUUCAUCUUAAGCGCUCCUUAAUCCCCAUGCUUAAGCGCGUUGGUGCAUUAUGGGUUUGAUCAAUCUAAUCACCAAGUUAACCAAGUACCUGCAUGACAAGCACGCUAAUAAGAAUGCUAGCUAUGCACGAGAGAUAAGAUAUAGAGAAAGUGAGAGUUCUUUUUUCAAAAUAAGGGUAACUAUAGCUACUUGAUUAGUACUAAGUAUUACUCUUAAUUGCUGUUUUGUAACACAUGUAAGGCCUGGUGUUAUUUUCUCAAAUACCUUGACAAUGGUGUGUGAGUAUUAGAAUAUCGAUCCGAAUUGAUACUCUCUUUCAUUGUAUCUGUCGACUGAACAAUCUUUUAUGGGAUAAUCUUAGAGUUUAUUUGGUCUGCAGUGUCUGCAGUUUCAAUAUGCACCAGAUUAUUUGCCAUCCAUCUACGUCCAAUUAACCAACUAUCACUGAUUACUUUUGAUAGGCAUAUUGGAUACCAUGCCAGGAGAAACAUCAAUGAUCUUGAGAAAACCAAUCCUAAAAUGAUCUUGUAUAAACUUAUGGAUACCAGGAGAAACAUAUAACUGCAAUCAAAGAACUGUAAGUAAAUGAAGGUUAGGGUUUAAAAAACUUGAUGGAUUAUAAUUGUAAAAUAUGGAUUUUGGGAAAGAAUGAGGGAGCGAAGUAACUAAAGAGAAUGAAUAAUGAGGAUUAGAUCGAGUCUCUAACACACUAACUGGUUGACUAGUAGUACACCAGAGACGUACUCCUUGAAACAAAACUUGGAUACGUACGGUAUUUGCUUAAAGAGCUCGAUCACCAUGUAAGGUUCAAGCUUAACUCUAACUACGCAUAGUUCCUACACUAAAUGGUUAGGGCCUCCAGUUAGUUCUUAUCAUAUCAGAUUAUAUACCAAUUGAGUUUUAACAUGCGUAUUAGAGCAUUACUCAACAACACAUAGAUCAAUGUCAAGCUAAAUCUCGCUGCUAUUUGUUGAAAUAUCAGUAGAGUAACUAGCUAUCUAAGUAAAGGGGGCGUGAAGGAACUAUAAUUAUGUUGCUCGAUCAAGUCAGCCCAUUCGGCAAAGGCUAUUUCUUUCAAUACUAGUAUAGCCUAGCUAGUUCAAAUAAUUUUGUUUGCUAACAUCUAUCAAACUAUAUUUGAAUUUGUAUUCAGAGUUACAGCUAGGUAACUGGGCUGCCAUUCCCCGUUUACAAAGAUUCGAUCGAAUACUAUGCAUGAUUACCACAUUCAUAUACUGCUAAAAUUGCAGCUUGGUCGACCUCUGUUGUCAACAUCGAUCAAUUAUUGAGAUAAUAAACCCUUAAUUAACCCCCUUUUCAUUAGAAGAAACCAGCUGCACCAAUGAAGCAAGCAUCUCAGAACGAUAUUUGUGAAUGUAAGUCUGUGGAUAAAGAAUGAUUAAGUGAUGCCAUAGGCUUUAGCAAGCCAAUGAUCAAUAUAUAUUAUUUUGUUCGAUAAUAGAGAUGACAGAAUACGUAGUUGGAUAGUGAUCUUUAUUCUGAAGUAGUAUAAAUUCUGUCUGUUUCGUUUCUGCAAAUGGAAGCACGAAAGUGGUGUUUUCGUUCUCUCUUUUUGUCUCUGAGAUGGGAAUAAUAAGAUGACGAUGGAGAGAAGCUGUACAGGGGCCUCUAGUAGUACUACUGUACGCCUGUACCUCACCAACCCAGAUUUGAAGAACCCUAAUUUUUAUAAUUGUGAUGCCACGAUCCGUCCUCGCAUUUCUUUAUCUCUAUAGCUGAAGGUAGCAGCAAAAAGUUGACAUUCUUAUGCAACUCAUACCACACCACUAUGACACUAGCCAGCCAGCCACCUCCAUCCUUUAAUGAUUAUCCUUAUCCCUCUAGCUAGAUCUCUCAUUUAGUUUCACACUAAUGCAUGCAUGCCCUGAUAUGCAAGUAGUACGAUAGAGCAUCAGUGAAUGUACGGCCAAGAACCCCAAAAAUAUAAGGGUGACCCUUGGCUUCCUAUUUGGGCCAUUUUAUACAACUAUGCCGGCCGUUCCUUCACAAAGGCAGUGGCUAGGUAUUCUCUGCAAUAUCUGCAUAUAUGAGAUCGUGCUCGCUCAUAGAUAUCCCAACGAAUAUAUACACGUAUAUAUAUAUAUAUUAUAUAUAAUAUAUAUAUAUUGAAUUAUAAAUAAGAGAAAAUUAGAUUAAAACCCAAAAUACUAGACCUCUUUUAAGAUAAACUCAUACAUAUUUUUCUUUCAUUUUACACCCACUCCACAUAAGCAAACUUACUAUAUAGAGCAUAUGUCUAUAAUUAAUAGUUUUCUUCAUUUUUUUAGUUUCUCUGAUUUGCCCUUCAGAUGAUAUAAAGCUAAAUUUGGUAUAUUUCUCAAUUUUAGCAUCAAUUUGAAACUCAAAUAUUGAGCUAAAAUUUAGUUGGAUUUAACUUUAUCAUAAUCAAUUACAUUCUUUAAUUUUUUACCUUUGUUAUUUACUAACUUGAGUGUAUAUAUAUGUUAUAUAUAGAAGUAUGUCAUUUGUAAUAGAAUGAUUCUUUUCAUUCUUAAGCUCACAUUUGGUGUCUCUCUACAUAGUCGAAAAAUGUCUGAUUGUAAGGUACACGUUCUUGUUCUUUGAUUAAUUUUCUUCUUUUUAGGUAUAUUAUUAUAUCAUUUCUCAUCUUGAUCGAGAGAAUAUUUACAUUUCUAAUGUACCUACUAAUAUACUUAUUAAGUAGGACAUGAUAUGAUAAUAUACCUAAAAAGAAGAAACCCAAAAUUGGGUAUAGGGUAUAGGGUUUAGGGUUUAGGAUAUAGGGUUUAGGGUUUAGGGUAUAGGGUAUAGGGUUUAGGGUUUAGGGCUUAGGGCUUAGGGCUUAGGGCUUAGGGCUUAGGGCUUAGGGCUUACGGUAACACUAUAAUUUCUUCUUUCUACUCAAAUAAUCAGAUAUCUUAUUUAUAUUAUAUUUUACCUUAUGUAUAGAUCAUAGAAUGUAUUCAUUUCACCUAGAUUUUUUCAUAAAAAUAAAGAAAACAACAUGAUUCUUGCAAAUUAAUUGAAAAAUGUUAGUGUUAAAAGAAAAACUUAUAAUCAAGGUAUUUAAGAAAACAUCAAUUAAGCUUAUUUAUUAUGUUUAUAUGUUAUAGUUGAAUGGUGACAAUAGUGUAAAAUUUAGAAAAAAUAGGAUAUAAUAUGUAUCAUAAUUGAUACAUUUUAGAUGUCUAUCAGAAAAGAAUAUUAUGUGGGUUUUAUUUAAAACCACUCUUCAAAAUUAGGUGUAUGUGAAAAUCCCCCUAUAAAUAAUUACUUCUGAAUCAACUGAAAUUAGUUUUCUUCUAUAUAAAUUGAAAUUUCAUACUUUCAUACAUAAGGAAUCAAACUUUACAUUUGUCGAUCUUUCUUGGGGUGUUUGCUCGGCACUUAUUUGUUUCUUCUGUUGAAUAUUAUUAUUUUUGGAUCUUAAAAUCAGACUUUUAAUCCAACAAAAUUUCACCCCUAAUUUAAAGCUUAAUGCAUGUACGUGUUAAUAUAUUUAACCAAAACAGAUGCAGUAUUUGCUAAACAUGUACUCGGAUUUCUUGGAUGUAGUCUGGUCUAACCUUAUGUCGACUCAGAAAUAACAAUUUGGACUAAAUUAAAGGCAACAACAUACACAUCAAUACUUUAGGGACCUCAUUUGUAUGGCAUGAGUCUGCCUUUCGCCGUCGAUGUGCGUUGUGUUGUUUUGGCCGGACGCGUCAUUAUGCGAGAGGGAGAUGACACUUUUUUAUUAUCUCUAAUGAUAAACUUAGAAAUUUCCAUAUUUUUAAAUCACCAUCAAUAUUACGUAUAUUGGGUCUGUAUUUUAUUCCUUGAAACAAAAGAAAUAAUGGAACUCCUAUGAUCAGACAUGAUCAUAUUCUUGGAUUGUAGCUUAUGAUUUCCAUGAAAUUAACACAUAUAUGCAAACAUUUGUAUAUAACUUUCUCUCUAUGCAUGUUUCCUUUUCAUGAAUUGGAAGCGAAUCCAUAUAGAGAAAGGAGGUCCCAAUUGGAUAAAUCCCUCUAGGUAUAUAUGGUGUGUAUGUCUUGUGUGUGUGUCUAUAUGUGCUGAGCUUCAUUCAGGCACGGAACCAGGGGUAGGGUAAGGUAUGCUGCAGCCUACCCCCAAUUUUUAGACUGGCAAAAAUUCAAUAUUUAUACAUGCUAUAACAAGCUGCCUUAAAAAGGACGGUCUCCCUCUAUAUACAUCGAAGCCUUGCUACUAACAUGCAUUGAAAAAACAAAAAAACUUCUACGUACUACUCAAAGUUCUCUAUUCUCUUAUACCACCAAAGGAGUCGAUAUAUUCUUUAUGUUAUUGCUAAGUUCAGUAGAACAAUAAACAACUCGUUAACUUUUGUCUCUAUACAUCAAUAAGUAAGACUUAAACCAAGAAACAUGCCCAUAUCAGAGCUCAGUAUGCUCAGAAGCUCCUUAUUUAGUUGUUUUGAUGUUUCUUUUUCUGAGUUGUGUUUUAGUGAUAGAUCAAUAUCAAAAUUUUACGCCAAGAAAGUUCUCAUAAAAUUAAAUCCAUAUUUUCAUAAAACUAUUGUCAUUAUGAGUAAUAUUCCAAGUUCAGAUUAACAAUAGCAUAAUAGAACCGUGUUUUAACAAGUGUUAUGUACUUGAGAUAUCCCAUCAUAUUAGAGUAGUCUCUGCUAAACUUUAAAGAAAUUUUUCCUUUGGCAACGUAAGAUAACUCUAGCCUACACCGAUUCUAAUUCUUGGUUCCGUUCCUGGGUUCCGUUCCUGGCUUCAUUCCUGUAAUGGUAAAAUUCCAUCGCAUAAAUAAAUAAAUGGUUUAUUCUAGUAGUGCUGUAGUGAACAUCCUCUCAUUGACACUUUGGGUACCUAAGCUGGAGAGAAUAUCGACCUUUUCUGAGUGUUAUACGUACGACCCAUGGCUGCAUAUGCAUUGCCCUUGUAUGCAAGUAGUACAAUAGAGCAUCAGUGAACGUACGGUCAAGAACCCCAAAAAUAUAAGACCGACUCUUGGCCUCCCGUUCGGGCCAUUUUAUACAUCGAUCUAUGCCGCCAUGUCGGCCGUUCCUUCAGAAAGUACGUAUUCUGCAAUCUGCAUAUAUAAGAUCGAGCUCAUAUCCCAGAUCAGAAUAUAUACACGUAUAUAACCAGAUAUGGAUCAAUAUCACAUGCCAAUAUAUAUUCCUAUUGCAAAGCUGCUUUUCAAUUGAUGGGGAUCAAUAUUCAUGCACUCAACGAUCGAUGACAUAUAUAUCAUGCAUCAUCUAGAGUUUUCCGAGUCCAACUUAACUUUUAUGAAUUAUUUAGUAAUUACUUCUGAAUCAACUGAAAUUAUUUUUCUUCUAUAUAUAAAUUGAAAUUUCAUACAUAAUUAAGGAAUCAAACUGUACAUAUUAGUCGAUCGUUCUUUGAGUGUUUCUUCUGUGUAAAAUUUAUUAUUUUUGGAUCUUAAAAAUCAGACUUUGCAAUCCAACAUAAUUUCACCCCUAGCUAGUUUAAAGCUUAAUGCAUGUGUUAAUAUAUUUAACCAAAACAGAUCCAGUAGUGUUUGCUAAUCAUGUUAUCAUGUACUCGGAUUUCUUGAAUGAUGUAGUCUAGUCUAACCAUGUCGACUCAGAAAUAACUUCUUCUUUUUUUAAAUAAAUAAUUGCAUUUGUAGCUAGAUUUGGACUAAAUUAAAGGCAACUACAUACCUAUCUACAUGGUAAAUAUAGAGGAUAACUUUGGGGACCUCACCUCAUAUGUAUGGCAUGAGUCUGCCUUUCUCCGUCGAUGUGCGUAGUGUUGUUUUUGCCGGACGUGUCAUUGAGCGAGAUGGAGAUGACACUUCUUUAUUAUCUCCAAUGAUGAACCUAAAAAUUAAUUUUCACAUUGUCAAAUCACCGUUAGUAUUACGUAUAUUGGGUCUGUAUUAUAUUCCUUGAAACACAAGAAAUAAUUGAAACCCUAUGAACAAUCAUGAUCAUAUUCUUGGAUUGUAGCUUAUGAUUUCCAUGAAAUUAGCCACAAUAUGCAACAUUUGUAUAUAACUUUCUCUCUUCCCUUUUCAUGAAUUGGAAGCGAAUCCAUAUAGAAAAAGGAGGUCCCAAUUGGAUAAAGCCAACUAGCUAGCCUCUCCAACUCGAUCAUCGAUAUCCACCAGAUAUAUGCUGCAGGAUAAUGAUAGAUAUGCCAAGAACUUAAUGACCUCAAGUUAAGGCCUUGCUACAAGCUCACUACAAGAAAAAGAGAGAAAGAUCGAAAAGAAUGCACAUAUUUAGGCACAUAAAACAAGAUAUAUAAGAAGGUGAAUCGCCGUACAAAGGACACGUCUUUGUUAACUUCCGUAUGCAAAGAUGGAUGUGAAAUUAGUAAGCCUGAAAAGAUGGAAGUCUACAUAUAUGAAUAUUUGAAAGCAAGACUUCAGUGCGUAAGUACUAGUUGAAGGGAAAAGAACACGAUGAUUUGUAGAUUACAGAAUUCGCUAUACCAACUUAAACACGCUAUCAAACAAAUGAUAUCUAAGAUUUCCUUCGGUUUAAAUAUGUUUUAUUAGAUUAUAUGUCGGGGUGACAUUUCUUGGUUUUCAAUUUAAACUUUAAAGAAGUUCCUCUCAGAUAUCGGGGCAAAACAAGUUAAAUAGGAACUAGGAAGUUAAUUAACUUAAUUAAUUAGUUACGUGUACUGCAUGAUAGGUUUCUAAGCCAUAAUUACUAAUUGUUAAGUAGCUCCAGUUCACACAUAUGAGAUUUGCCUCAUCCCUUUCGAUCUUCCGAUCAUGCGUCUUAAUUUUUUCUUUCAGUGAGAGCUUGAGAAUCUGUACAGGCCGUCUGUACCUCACGCCCUCACCAAACCAGAAAAACCCUAAUAAUCUUAGAUUGUGAUGCCACGAUCCGUCCUCGCAUUCUUUAUCUGUAAAUUAAGCUAAAAAGUUGACAUUCGAUAUAUCAUUCUUUUUCCAACUUACACUAUGACACUAGCUUACCUCCUUUACACUAUGACACUAUCCCUCUCUUAUCAGCUGGUUCUUACGGUGCAGGAGCCUUACUGAAAGCCUUUCCAAUCUCUAGCUUCUCCCAGUUGGGGUCAUUUUAAAUCAAUCCCUGGGGAGAUAGAACUCCCCAAAGCAUUUUGCAGAGAUCUUCUGUGUACAGUUGUGGCCAAUAUUCGAAAAGUGGUGAUGCAAAGCUGGAAAAUAAAUAAAAUUAGGGGAUUUCCAGUUGAUGGGGAAUAUAGUCCUGCAGUCUUUUCCAUCGAAAUAUAUGACUUAAACCCUAGAGUAUUAAGAAUAGGCAAUUGACAGGAAAAGAUAUAAUGAUAGAUAAAGGAUGACUUGGGUCUUAUUGGCACCGAUCUGCUCCUUUCGAUUUCUAUGUAAGACGCAAAGAGGGUGUUGUCUCCGGAACGUGUCAUCGACAUGGCUUCUCUAGCUAUAGCUUAUAUAUUCAAUAUUUUCUUAGAUUAUUGAAAAUUUUCUCUUUACAAAACAUAAUCAAGAAUUCGAUCAAUAUAAAUAGCUAGCUAGUUCUGCUAUCAAUAGCAGUAUAUAGGAUGUAAUACAGUGUACAUACACAUGCAAUUUUCGAUCUGUUUUCAAGCGUUUUGCUUUGUGUCCUUUUCAUAUUGGAUUUGAUCCAAGAAGGAAAAGGAGGUCCCAAUUGGAUAAAUCCAACUAUUCUCUCCGACUCAGAAAAUAUUCUAGCUGCAGAAUAGCUAUAGAUACAAAAUGAAACACCUGCAGAUCUAUAUAUGAUCAUAUCAAAUUUUCAUGAGCACAAAUUUAUUAAGUAUUAAUGAUUACUAAUGGAAUACUAACCUAAAUUUACUUGAUUCGUCUGAUUAUUAUUAUUUUUUAUUUUUUUAUUUUUUAUUUUUUUUACGAUACUAAGCAUAUCGAAAUAAGCAUGCGAAUCGUUUUCCUCGUUACCAACAGAAAUGAAGCAGUUGUCUCUAUAUAGAUAAGUGAUGUAAAAUAAUAAGCCACACAACACCAAAAUGAGAAACAAAAACGAAGAACAAAAUGCAUAUCUAGGAUAAGAAUUUAUGUGAAGCCGUACCAAGGACACGUCUCUAUAUAUCCGUAUGUUGAAAUUCGACAACGUGCAUUCAACUUUGAUUCUCUUAGCUAGUGCAACUUUUGGAUAGCUUUCUAGAAAUGAUCGAUCGAGUUUGUGUAAUGACAAAAUCAAAUCGAACAUUCUUAUUUUCCUUCUCUAUCAAAACCGUACCCUUUAACUUUUAGACAAUGCCAAUCAACUCUCCCCCAUCUCCUAUAUAUACACUUCCAUGGCACUCCAUAACUUACAAACACAUCAAACACCUCACCAAUACACAUUCAUCUGAAAGCUCUACUUUCCUCUGAAUCUAAACACAUUUCACUUACCAAUUAGCAUACACUUCGCCUUCGAGUCAUUACAUUUUCGCCUUGUUUACUGGAAGAAAGCUGCUAGCUAGCAAUGGAGGCGGUGACAAAGAUGGCGUCCGAGAGACCGGUGGUGAUUUUCAGCAAGAGCUCAUGCUGCAUGAGCCACUCAAUCAAGACAUUGCUUUCCGACUUUGGGGUGAACCCAGCAGUGUAUGAGCUUGAUGAGAUGCAAAGAGGGAGAGAAAUAGAGCAAGCUCUGUUGAGGCUCGGAUGCAGCCCAUCUGUGCCGGCUGUGUUCAUUGGUGGCGAAUUUGUUGGCGGAGCCAAUGAAGUGAUGAGUCUUCAUCUUAAGCGCUCCUUAAUCCCCAUGCUUAAGCGCGUCGGUGCAUUAUGGGUUUGAUCAAUCUCAUCAUCAAGAAAACCAAGUACCUGCAUGACAAGCACGCUAAUAAGAAUGCUAGCUAUGCACAAGAGAUAUAAGAUAUAGAGAAAGUGAGAGUUCUGUUUUCAAAAUAAGGGUAACUAUAGCUACUUGAUUAGUACUAAGUACUACUCUUAAUGGCUGUUUUGUAACACAUGUAAGGCCUGGUGUUAUUUUCUGAAACACCAUGACGUACAAUUGUGUUAAACACAUUAUAAUAUAAUAUUAUUGGUGAUUUGGUUAUUAGCAAUAUGCAAUGAUGAGUUGUGAAGAGAUAUCACAGUUUCUCCAAUUCCAAAUGAGAUGGGUGCAAUGACUGAAAUUAAUCCUAGUAUUUCAACCGGAAUUCCAUAAAGAAUAACACAACCAUCCUCCUAUCAUCAAUGACUGAAAUUAACAAAACUGAAAAAUCCAGAAGACCCGACAAAUCCCUAUAUAUUCAAGAGUUAAGAAUAUUGUGUUGUGAUGGUGCAUUACUUGUGAUAGAAUUUUGGACUCUAUUUAAUUAGUAACAGUUGAGAAUCUAAAUUUUAUUUGAGCCAACAUACUACUCUAGCUAGGUUUUCAUACUUGGACUUACUAGCCUUUUGUCAAAUUAAGUUGUUUUAAUUCUGCCACUCAUCCUUCCAAACUGAAACACUGAUAACUUCGAAAUAUUGAGCUUUGGGCCUUUACCCAUGUUGGUAAAAACAAAAAAUAGAUGGAGAGUUAAAAUCUUUAUUAUCUUCUUGGUAAAUUCGUAAUUUCUCUUCGCGAGGAUAACAUCCUAAUACUGGUAAUCAAACAACUAGCUAAUAUUGGUUCACGUGUGGUGAAAUUAUGCAUAAAAUUAAAAUCUCAACAAUUAUGCAAAAAAAUUGGCAUGAUUCACAUUUCGAAAAUCUAAAUAACUGUUGAGAAUACUCUUCACAUUCGCAUGCAUGAUUUUCAUGUCCGGUUAGUUGCAUAUACCUUCAUAUAUACUGUAGUACGUAAUUGUCUAAUUGAGUAGGAGAUAACCGUGUUCUAGCUAGGGUCAUGGAACCCCAAGACGAUGCUGACCCUUGGCCACCUCGUUAGGCCAGCUAAACUCUUGGUGAUGAAUUGAAUUCCCUAAAGCAUUUUGAUCAAGACUUCUCACAAAGAAUAUAUAUGUAUACGCAUAUAUAGAUACACUAGCACAAUAUACUAGCACAGAAACGCAUGCAUUAAUUUGACAUGAACGAAAUUAGAUAUAGAGGGUAAAUCGGGGGACCUCAUGCAUUUGGCAAUAUUGAUCUGCCUUUCUCAUUCCAUGUACGACGAAUUGUCUUUUGGUCUAGAACGUGUCAUCAAAUCAGUGACAGGAAGGUACCUUAGCUCAUGUAUACAGACACAGUAUAGGUGUUCUAAUUUACAAAACCUUUUUUCGAUGGUGCUAAUUUACAAAACCUUACCAUUCCUUAGGUUUGAGCUCUUCUAUAAUAUGCAUUCUCUAUUUUCCAUCUCGCUUUCUGUUCACUUUUCAUUAGUUGGAUGCGAAUCCUAGAAAAAGGAGGUCCCAUUUGGAUAAAUCCAACUAUUGUUUCCGACUCAGUAGAUAGCAGCUAGCAGCAGAUCGAAUAGAAAGAUCGAUAAGCCCAAAAAAAUCCACUACCAACCAGGCCAUUAUCGAAAAUGAGCCACCUGCAGAUCUUACAUAGGAAGAAAGCUAAGGAGAAAGCAAUUAUAGAUCGAGAAACAUAUGUUAAGAGAUAAGAUUGUGAAGCCGUACAAAGGAAACGUCUCUAUUCAUUUCCGUAUGCAAAUAUGCGACAAUGUGCAGGAUGAUGCUGUCCCAAGUUUGAUUCUCCUCAGUGCUACUUUUGCAGAGUAGUCAAUUAGAUCGAUCAAUCAAAAUAUGUGUGAAAUCAAAUAUCUAAUCCAACAUUCUUACUUCACUAUCACAAGCCCUUUAACGUGCUUCUAUCUGUUUGUGGCUACAAAUUGCAAUGCCCAAUCCAUGCACUCCCACCCAUCACCUAUAUAAACACCUCCUUUACACCCCAAAGCUCACAAACAAAUCAAACCCUCAUCACUCUUUACGUUCCUCACAAACCUCCAAUCGAUCUCUAUUUCCUCUAAUUUACUUGAGCACCUUUCACGAUUCAUCAGACCCUAAAGGUGACAUUGCAUACGUUUUGCGUAUCGUUACCUCGUUGCUUUGUUCACAUUGUCUUGACAUUUCACAAUGGAGGUGGUGACAAAGUUGGCUUCCGAGAGACCUGUGGUGAUCUUUAGCAAGAGCUCAUGCUGCAUGUCCUACACCAUCAAGACCUUGUUUUGUGAUUUUGGGGUCAACCCAGCAGUGCAUGAGCUUGAUGAGAUGCAAAGAGGGAAAGAAAUAGAGCAAGCUCUGUUGAGGCUCCGGUGCAGCCCAUCUGUUCCGGCUGUGUUCAUUGGUGGUGAAUUUGUUGGCGGAGCCAAUGAAGUCAUGAGUCUUCAUCUUAAACGCUCCUUAAUCCCCAUGCUUAAGCGCGUUGGCGCAUUAUGGGUUUGAUCAAUCAAACCAUCAAGUUAACUAAGUAUACUUGUAUGACAAGCAAGCUAUUAAGAAUAUUAAUUAGAUAUGCACGAGAGAUGUAAGUGACGGAUUGAUAAUAAUAUAUAUGACAUAAUAUGUGAGAGUAGUUCAUAUAUCAAUAAGAGUCCAAGACUACAUAGGUUUUUUGUAAUCCUAUGAUAGUGUUGUUUUAUCAAAGACGUUGUGUUCAAUUCGAUCGGUGUAUAUAAUGUAUUGGUAUUUUUUAAGUAAAUGGUAAACGACUUAUAUACCAUAAGAGCUGUAUAUAUAUGUACCAUGUACGUCUUAAUUAUAUAUUAGCUAGGUUAGCAGCAGCCAGCAAAUGCAAUAUUCAAUCUGGUCGAUGAGUUAUAUGCAUGAAGAUAUAUAGAGGUUAUAGUGUGUUGUUCCAAUUUACCAUUGAGAUAGAUACAGCCUCAGAAUUUGAACUGAAACCCCAAAUUUGAGCGAAAAAACUUCAUUAUGUAUAGGUCUUCUAGGAUUUGAGGUCAGUGCAUGCAUGAGCUGUGGUAGACAGUAGUAGAUUUCGUUUUUUUCUUUUUUCGUUCUAAUGGACGCUAUUUUAUUGCUUCAAUUAAAGACUUUCUAAGUUCCAACCUCUACGAGUACUCGAGCAUUUUCAAACUAAACCUUGCUGCUGCAAUUAAAUAUUAUUAGAGACAUGCAUAUGACAUAGUAGUGAUAGUUAGCUAGGCAAUUUUUGAAAAAAAAACAGGUUAGUCAACAGUUUAAACUGAAAGAACAUAUUAGGGAAUCAAAUAAUAAGAUAUAUAACUGACUAUUUUCCUUCCAUGUUAUUUGAAAAGCCUUACAAAUGUUCUUUUACAAUGCAAAAUACAUUCCACAUUCUCGAUACCCACAUGCAUUCUUAUACGGGGAUAUAUAUUCCAAGUCAUAGACGUUACGUGAACAACUUAUAUUAGGUGACAUUGAACAAGCUAGUGUGACGCUCUUUGGCAAUUACUAUUUGAUACCAUGAGAGCAUCAUAUCUAAAACUAGUUUAACAAUAGCUAGGUAGAGCUCUUAUAACCUAGGCAAAUUAACUAUAUUUCAAAAUUAGUUGUGUUUCAAUAUGAAGUACAUGUGUUGCAGCAUUUCACAUUCUCAGCAUAUGCAUGAUCCGUUUCACUCCUGGAACCGUGAUUUAGGGUCAAGGAACCCUAAAGUGCUGACCCUUGGCCGCCCAGUUGGGCCAUUUUAUAUCUUUUGGUGGUCAAUAUAUCGAAUUUACUAAAGUAUUUUCCAACGACACAUCUUAACAAAGAAUAUGUAUACGGUAUACCCAUACAUACAGUACGUAGUACAGGAAGGCUAGCAAUUGACACGGCAAGAUAUAGAGGAUAAAUUGGGGGACCUCACAGAUAUGGGCACUGAUCUACCUUUGUCAUUCCAUGUACGAGAUUUAUCUUCUGCUCUGGAUUUUGUCAUCAAAAGUGAGGGUUUCUUAAAACUCAUGUACAUACGUACAUAUAUUUGCACUUAUGCUUUCAGAUCCGUUCAGAUAUACAAAACCUAACUUCCAUAGGUUCGAUCCCACUGCAUGUAUGUAUGCUUGUGCAAUUCUCUAUUUUCAACAGCUUGCUUUCUGUUUCCUUCUGGAGAAUUGAUGCGAAUCCAGUAGAUAGAAAAAGAAGAGGUCCCAGUUGGAUAAAUCCAACUAAUGUUUCCAACUCAGUAGAUAGCAGCGGAUCGAAUAGAGAGACUGAUCGAUACGAUAGAAAUUCCAUAUAAACACUAUCAUCGUUGACAAUGAUCGAGACACCUGCAGAUCUACUUUGGAAGAAAUGAUAAACCAGUUACAGAAAUGUGAUGGAAACAAGUUAAGAUAAGAAUGUGAAGCCGUACAAAGGACAUGUCUCUAUUCAUUUCCGUAUGAUAUGCAAAAGAUUCUACAAUGUGUGCAUGCAUAAUGCAGUCCAUUCAAGAGUUUUAUUCUCCUUUAUAUAUGCAACUUUUGUAGAGUAGUCAAGUAAUUAAUUAUCGAUCACAAUAUCUAAUCAAACAUUCUUAUUUUCCUUACUUUCAAAACCGCUUAAACUAGCUUCUAUCUGUACGUUGUAGCCCCUGCAUUCCCAUCUCCUAUAAUAAACACCUCCAUCAUACCCCAAAGAUACAAACGUAUUAAACCUCGAUCAUCACUCUCUCACAAACCUCCAUUCUCUUAUCUCUAUUUCCUCUAACUUAGCUGCACCUUUCACGAUUUAUCAAAACCUAAGAGUGACGCCAUUACAUACACUUGCCUUUUAUCGUUGGCUUAUUGCAUGCUUUGUUGAUACAUUGUCGAUCUUGCUCUUUAAACACCUCCCUUAGUCUCUUACACCCCAAAACUCACACACACACACACACACACACACACAAAAAUCAAAUCUCAUCACUCUUUUAACCCUAAACCCUUUACGUUCCUCACAAACCUGUAAUUAAUCUCUCUUUCCUCUAACUUAGCUUAGCACCUUUCACGAUUCAUAAAACCCUAAAGGUGGAAUUGCAUACACUUCGCUAAUCGUUGUUAAAAAACUGGCAUAAUAAAAAAUUUGAUAGCUUGAUGAAUGAAAAACUACAUAUCCUCAAAUCAAGGAAAGCAAGAAAAGGAGAAGAGAGAACAAUGUUUUAUAAUUCUGGUUAUUGAUACAAAAACUUUAUUAGCUUGAAAAGAAAAGGUACGGUACAAGUGAGGUAGAUAUAUAGAGCUGGUAAGCAGUGGAGUUUGACUUGUUCUCCAAGUUGAUAAAUAUAAACUGGACUGCGGAUAUGGACUGGGCCUAUACUCUUAAUACCCGCCCUCAAACUAGUGUUUGGGGUAGGGCUGGGCAUGAGAUGGGAUAUAGCUAAUCCCAUAGCCCUCCCGGACAUUAAAAUCGGGACGGAAUAGGACGAGUUUUGCCUUUUUUAGAUUUCAUCACACCCGAGCCCUAUUUCGGUCAGGACGGGACAAGAUAGGAUGAGACGGGCCCAGUUCUGGAUAAAAAAAGUUGAAAAUAAACUUGUAAGCAAAAGAAAGAGUUUCAUAUUUUCAUAGUGCUCUCUACUCUAUUAAGUAUUAACAAGUACUUACAACAUAUUUACAAGUGCAACACGAUGUAAUAAGAGAGUUUACACUGUUUACUUUCUCUAAACCUGUCAUCACUGCUAGGGUGCAAGAAAAGAGUCUACAACAAUCAACAAAUUAAAGUAUUAAACAUCACUAUUAUUGAAUUAAGGAUAACCUAAUAACUUAAAUAAACAAAGGGCUAAGAUCAAAACACUUAAAUGAAAGGCUCAAAUUAUAUCUUAAUCAAUAAAAAAUCAAUCAUUAAAAUAGUCAGGACAGAAUGGGCCUAAACGGGACUUAAAUUAUUUGUCUCGUGUCUCGUUCCGUUGUAUAGGGACGGGACGGGACAAAACAUGCCUGACGUUUUGAGAUUUAAAUCUCGUCCCGUCCCGACAAAUUUCGGGACGGGUUCAGGAUUACUGGAUUUUAUGCCCACCCCUAAUUUGGGGAGCCAAGAACUGGUUUGCAGCAGAGUUCUUUUGGAAACAAUAUAUCAACCUGGAGGAAUUUGAGGAUGAGAUCGCCGCAAACUCAUAAACACACAGGCUUGCUUACAAUCUGUUUGACGAUUGUUCAACAACUUAAAAUAAUUCAAAUUCGGCAUCCCAUCACGAUCUCUAACAGUAUGAAUUAUUUUCCAUUCGUGUGAUACCUUCGUUGAAGUGAUAACUCUUGACCGAGAAACAAUUUUAUUUGACAGGGCAAGACAUAGACUUGAUAAUAAAGCAUCACUGGAGGGUGGCACAUGUUGAGUAGAUAUGGAAGCAGACAAAGUCGUAGGUGAUAUGAAAGUUAUUGGUUUUGUUUCUAAACUUGCUUCAAAUGUUUUGAGUGGCCUGACUCUUCCCCUGUGAAACUUCCCAGAUUCUGCUACAUAUAUAUAUACUAUCCUGGAGCUUUAUAUAUACAUUCUAUUUGUUCCUGUGAUAGUAAGAGUGAAGGCUUGGCCACAUAUGAUGGAUCUGUCAGUACUGGAGUAGUAACACAAGGCUCAAUAACAUGAGCAGAGGAGUAUUCCUUGAGAUCAUCCAUUUCAAGAGUCAGAGAACCAGCACAAUAACCAUCACAUUCAGUAUCAGAAGGAGGUUGAGAAGCGUUGUCACUAUUUUAUGGAACAAAACCUAAUGGAGUUGGUGAGUUAGCUGAUAUGGGUGGUACAACCAUACCACUGCUAGCAGUCAUAUUGUUAUGUGGUGAAACUAAAAUCCAUAUUGUGUGGUUGCAGGGGAAGCAUUAUACUGAUGCACAUUAGUAAAAUCAGAAGAGGCAAAUAGAUUGAUCCCAUUUUGAGUGACACCAUGAUUACCAACAGAAGAAAGCAUAUUAGACUGAAUAUAUCUAUAAACCACAAUUUUGUGACACGACAUUUUGAUUCAUAGACUUGCCAAUAUGACGUGCAUAACUACUAUAAGCUUGAGAAUUUGAAAAAUACUUUCCACUCCCAGACUAUAACCAUAGGGAUUACACAUUCUAGGAUUUUGAGCAGCAACAUAUGUUAGCAUGCAAGAUGACACAUGAUUCCCAUUCAUUUAGCUACAAUUAUACAAACCUUGAUUUUGAGGAAUGCUAGGCAUGCUAAACUGAACAUUUUUAGAUGCAGGACAAACUGAACCACAUUGAGCUAACCUUGCAGUUAAAGAGGAUAAAAAAUAUGUCUUGUUUUUCAACUCAAUCUUUUUAAUAGGAAUUAUAGAUUUAUUGAAAUGGAAAUGGAAAUGCAAAACUUGUUAAAGUAGAGAGCAAGAACACUUUAGAGUCUAAAUUAUGGCUAUUCUCAUUAAUUGCAAAUUGAAAGUUAGAAGAGAUUAUAUAGUUAUGGAUUAUAGCAAAAUGAUCAGAACCAAAUUACCUUGCUAUAUAUACUACUCCUGACCAAAAAUGUUCUUAUUAACAACUUGAAAAGAUUAAAACAUGGAUAAUUUUGAUGUGAGUCAAGAUGUGUGGAUUAUAUUUGCAUCUCCAGCAGUAUUGAUAAAUUGAAAAAAAUUAGAGAUUUAUCAAUUUUUAAAUGAAUCUUUGCUCCAGCAGUAUACUUAAGAAAUUGAUAAAUUUGGAAAUUGAUAGAGAAAAUUGAUAAAUUUAUCAAUCUUUUAGAGACAAUUAACUAAAACUUAGCUAAUGUAUACAAUUUAGCAAUACUGCUGGAGCAAAAUUUCAAAAAUUAAUGUUGUAAAUCUAAAUGUUGACAAAUUUAACAAUAAAUUUAAUUGUAUUGCUGGAGAUGCUUGUGACAAUUUCACUCCUCUUAAACUUACAUGCGUUAAUAUUUUUUAUUUUUUAUUUUAUUUUUAUUUUUAUUUUUUAAGAAAGGUGCUAAUGUUAGAAGCUAGCUUUAAAAAGUGCUGAUUUGGAAUCAAGAGCAAAGUCCAUAACAGCUUAUCUAGUUAUCUCCUUAGUAUCACUAACAGCUGUCCAAAGUUUGUCCCCUGCAUGUAGCCAACAAGAUUCAUUUGAAGAGAAACGUGGAUAACACAGCGAUUUGAUCUCUCCGUUCCCAACACUUGUUAGUUGUUACACAUAUUUACAAAUCCUGCCGCAGCCAAUAAAUGUCUCCUCUCCUCUUCUACCUCGAAUGUUUAAACCCCGCUCUCUCUCUAACCCAUUCAGAACUCCCACCUAUUAUUUUUCUUACUGUUGCAGUAGUUUUCAUUUUCUAGUUUUAAUGAACAGUAAAACCGAAAAAAUUGGUGAAAUUUCCUACAAUGCAUUACAAGACAACCUCAGCUUCUACUUGCACUAGUUUCAGGCUUCCAGCUCACUCUAGCUAACUGGGUCGCUCGUGAUUCUCUCCCUCUCUCAGUCUUCUCAGUUUCCUUGGUUUUCUCGGCCACCAAAGUUUAAGGUAAGGAGAACUGCUCCUACCCACUUAAAAUCUGGUUUUUCUGUCCUCACUGCUUCAAUAAUUUCAUGGGUUUGUGGUUCUUAUGCUAAAGAAUGUACCUUUGUGUCUGAAAGUUAAGGAAUUUGAGUUUGAGGUUUAGGCUAAGGAAGCUAACGUUUGUGGUUGUUUAGGGUAACUGAGACCUCACUGGUGCAGUUGAAGUUGUUGGUUGACCAAAAUGUUCGGUUUUUCUCGCAAACGCAUGAAGAUUGGACGGUGAGCUUGUCUUGUUUGAGCUAUAAAGUUUUCGUUUUUAUUUAUUAUUGUUGCUACUAGAAAAUGUUGCAUGCCCUUUGUUGAUUUUGUGAGUCCAAUCUUCUCUAUCAGUGAAUUUUGGUAAUUCGUAUGUAAUUUAUACAAUGUCAGUUAGUGGAAGUUGAAAUUUUGAUAUAAAUUAUGAUGAAGGAUUUAUAGAAUGAGAUUGUGAUAAAAGUUGUAAUGAUUGUGUUGACUUAGAUUGAAAGUCCAGCUCUCAGAUUCUACUCAGGGAACUAGAAGCCCCAUAAGACAGCCGAAACGAAAUAACAGCUCCAAUGUAAGGCUCUUAAUAGCUUGUUUUGUGUAUGGGUUUAGUUUCAAAUGUCAAUGAUUCCCUGCUCUGAGCUGAGCUCAUUUUGAUUUUGGCAGAAUGACUCUGAUGCGCCAGCAAGUAGUCUUUCUGAUGAGCUUGAUUGCCAGUGUCCUUCUGCUCCUGAGAUUAGUAAUUCCACAAUGGGGAGCUCCGAGAAUUGGAUGGUGUUGUCGAUUUCUGGAGACAAGCCUAAGCCCCGAUUCAAUGUAAAAUUUAUAUGGUAAACGGGUUCGGUUUAUUUGUGUCUGUGGUGGUGUCGGUAGCUAAACCUUCGUUUUUCUUUUCCAAAAACAGCAUGCGGCGGCUGUAAUUGGGAAUAAGAUGAUAGUGGUUGGUGGUGAAUCAGGGAGUGAACUGCUAGACGAUGUACAGGUAGGAUAAUGAUUCUGUCAUUUAUUUGAUAUCAAGUAGAUAUCGGCUUUUAUUAGAUAACUACAUUAGUGCAUAUUCAUGCUGAAAAUCACUAAGCUGCCAUUUCCAUUUUCAGGUGCUCAAUUUUGACAGUUUUACAUGGACCACAGCGUUGUCAAAGCUUUACUUGUCACCAAGCAGUCUGCCCUUAAAGAUCCCUGCAUGCAAGGGCCACAAACUGGUACAAUCUUAUUGUUAUCUUAUGUUUGGUAUGCAUUUCCAUAUGGGGUAGAGUUUCUUCCUCUAGAAGACAUUGGAUAUCAAGAUGCCUACAGGUUGGAAUGUAUAGCUAGGAUUUGUAGGAAGCUAGCUAUGAACUUGAAAGAAUACCAUAAAUACGUUUGCAUUUUUUUUUGCUGUAGACUUGGACUAAAGUAGGUUUCUAUAUCAUAACUUAGGUCUAGGUAAAUCAGGUUGGUUUACCUUUGAAAGUUAUACUCUUUCUUAUCUAGGUUUCCUGGGGGAAAAAGGCACUCCUGGUUGGAGGAAAGACUGAACCUGGGAGUGACAAAAUUUCAGGUUAACAUUCCCGUCUUUAAAGCUUAUGAAGUAUUUGCUUUUGGUUUGUACGUAUAUGAAAUUAUUUCAGUUCUUUCAUUUAUGCAGUUUGGGCAUUUGACACUGAGACAGAAUGCUGGUCUCAUAUGGAAGCAAAGGGUGAUAUACCGGUACUUUUUCUUUCUCUUCUUUUCUCCAAUGAACUGGUGUUUUGACUUGGACCUUACAGUUGUAGAAAUUAUAACCUGACUGCUCAAGUUUUGAUUCUGGUACCAAUUCGUUAAGAAAUUAAGAAACUGUUCAUCACCCUAGAUUAUCCUUGACUAUCUUGCCUGGAACUUAAAAUCAGUCAUUUAAUGAAAAUUUUGCUGAGUAUUGAAAUAUAUUGAUUGGUAGUCUUUCCUCAUAUUUAUACACUGCAGGUUGCUCGUACCGGUCACACUGUAGUCAGGGCAAGUUCUGUAUUGAUCCUUUUUGGUGGUGAAGAUGCUAAAAGAAAAAAACUGCAUGAUCUACAUAUGUUUGAUCUGAAGUCAUUGACAUGGCUACCUCUUCAUUGCACGUGAGUGAUUUUAGCCAUGCUGUGUGUGAUUCUCUGAUGAAACCCGAAUAUAACAAUCGCACCUCUUUUCUGGUUUCUUCUUAUUUGGUUGAGACCUUUCCUCUUUACAUGGCCUUAAAAAUGUUAACCUUUCUUUUUAUGUCGUUCUAAAUGUCUUAAUUGAUAUACAUUCAGAGGAACGGGACCAUCUCCGAGGUCCAACCAUGUGGCAGCUCUUUAUGAUGACAAAACUCUUUUUGUAUUUGGAGGCACAUCAAAAUCCAAGACUUUGAAUGAUUUGUAUUCACUUGACUUUGAAACGGUGAGUGAAUGCUCUGUAAUUCUUACACUUCCUAUAAAACUGGGCUGUGUGGUCAAACAUAUCAACUCUUUGUAGUUGAGAAUUAAACUCUUAUUUUGUGAUAUACUGAUGGGCUUUUUUCUCAGAUGGUAUGGUCAAGAAUAAAAAAGCGAGGUUUCCAUCCAUCACCUAGAGCUGGUUGCUGUGGAGUCCUGUGUGGAACCAAAUGGUAUAUUGUUGGUGGUGGAAGCAGAAAAAAAAGUAAGCCUCGUAACUAAGACAUGGUUGAGCUUUUUGGAAUGUUUCUAUAAUGCCACGCACGAAAGUGCCCUCUAGACCUUGAAUUUCACUAAAGGAAAAAGAAAAGGAAUUUUUUGUACAAGCUUUCAACAAAAGAAAAAAAAUACAAGAAAUACAUUCUUGAAGUGAAGUGCAUAAUUUUGAUGUAGAAGCCCUUAUACUUUUUGGUUUCCUAAUCCUUUCCAGGACAUGCGGAGACUCUGAUCUUUGAUGUUUUGAAACUUGUGUGGUCGUUGGCCAUUGCAUCGCCUCCGUCUACAAUCACUACCAAUAAGGUAUGCAACAUUCACUUUUACAAAUAUAUCAGGGAGCAACAUAAUUGGUUGCACAUCCCAUGAUGGCAUGAACUUAAGCAUUUAAUCUUACCUUAACCAUUUUUCUUAUGUUGUAUUCUCAGGGUUUCAGCCUAGAGCAUGUGCAGCACAAAGAAAAGGAUUUUCUUGUUGCUUUUGGGGGAUCCAGAAAGGAGCCAUCAAAUCAGGUUCUUAAGAAAUCAUGUUUUUGUUUUAGUUGAUUCUUUUCUCUCAUUAGCCUUGUGCCUUAUUGCCCUCUGAUGUUUUGUGACAGGUUGAAGUACUAACCAUGGAAAAGAAUGAAUUAUCUACGAGUCGUCGAUCUUUUCCCAGCAAAGGACCUGGAACUUUGCUGCCUGAAAAACUCCCAUCAUCAAAUGGCUUGGCUAGUCAACUAACUAAUGGUUCUUCCCAGCGCUCAGUCAAUUCAGUUACUAGACAAAAUCUGGCAUCUGCAAUCGAACAACAUGGCUCUGGAAGAAAAUCCUUGUCAGAAUCCUUGCUUGUCGAUGCAAAUCCUGUUCCUGGUAACGUGUCACUUCGGAAACAAUUUCAUAAUGACGAAGAAUACAACACUGCUGUUAAGGUGACAAAGGGUUCAGAAGAUGAAAGUUCUCUCUUGCAGGUACACUGCAUUAAGUUUUAUUUAUUAUUGACUACCUCAUGAUCAAAAAAAUUCUGAAGUUUGAAGGAAAAAAAAAAGGGGAAAGAAUAAUGGAACUUGUCAUUUCAGAAAUUAUUCUGUUCCUUGUUGUUGUAGUUGACAUUAUGAUUUGAUGUUGUGUUGUGUUGAUUUCAGCCCUCGGAAAAGAAAAAUAGUCAAUCUGAAUCAGCAGUACAAACUAACAUUCAUGGAGGUAGACUUUACUCAGAGGACAUUCUCUCUGCAUAUGAGUUCGAAAACUCAAAUCACAACCAUGGACUUGGGAACUUUCCAGUUGACAACAAUGAUGCCUUAUUUCCAGAAAGUGAUGGAAAACCAGGAGCACUAUCAGCGCCUUCAAGUAUGUACCAAUAUUAUGAGAAACUAAUAAGAAAGAAUGGGGUUUUAGAAGGACAGUUGGCUGCUGCAUUGGCCAGUCGAGAAGCUGCAGAGAAAAACUUAUCCUCUGCUCUCAAGAGCCGACAGGAGAUUGAGAAAAAAUUAGCAGACUCUGGGAAGGAGAUAGAGUUGCUGAAGGACAAGCUAGCUGGUGUAGAACUUGCCCAAGAAGAGGCUAACAACCUCUCAAGUAUUGUUCAUUCCGACAAUGUGAGGCUUGAGCAUGAUGUGGCUUUCCUCAAGGCUGUUUUGGAUGAUACCCAGAAGGUAUUAUAUUUCUAAAUGCUGCAUUUUGAUGUAAUCAUCUUUGAGCCAAGAUAUAACUAUGUUACAUGAAAGAUUUGUUUUGACCCACCAAUUUUGGUUAUUGAAUAAUGAAUAUAGGAGCUGCAUUCAACUAGAGGAGUUCUAGCUGGAGAACGAGCAAGGGCAUUCCAGCUCCAGGUAUGGCUAUGAAUUAGGAUGAAAUUGGCUGGCUGUUUACAUUAAACACUUUGCAUCUGUUAUGGAAUCUUAAUCUGACUGUUUAUUCUGUGUAUCAGGUUGAAGUUUUUCAUCUUAAACAAAGACUACAAUCGAUGGAGAACCGAGCACCUACACCAAGAAAACCAUUCUAGGAUGAAAGAGUAAGUGAGCAAGGAGCAAGGAGCUGUUGAACAACUCCCACGGUGCAGCACCGCAUCAAACUUGAAGCCGCCUCAUUGGUAUGAAGAUCCUAUUGGCCUAUACCAUGUAUAUAAGUGAAGCCAUUGUACCUUAACUUGUAUGUUGAUAUGCUAGGCUAUUUUCCACAUCUACAUGAAACAGAAACGUUUGUUCUGAUUUGGCAAUGAGAAACUUAUGCUAUAUGUAGGUCACUAGCUUUCCCUUCCCUAUGCCCCAGAUAUUGUGGCCCUGGACAUCUUUCUUUCAGGAUCCUCCGUUUAUAGCGUCAAAUUGCUCUUUAGUUUUACACCUUCCAUCAUGCUUCAUGCCUACAGCAUCAAGCACUUGCCCUGUGCCCAACCUACCCGUAAAAUCCAGAAAUCCACGCUCAACAAACUGCCAUCCUUCAGACCAAAAAAAAAAAA